rnacentral:lncRNA from 1 species
UCGCUUAGUUCCUCGAAGCCCUUUCCUUGCUAUCUUCACCCUAUCAAGCCAUUCUUGAGUCACAUCAAAUUGAGCAUCCAUUGAGAGAAUCAUUUCUUCAAUAUUGUGAACCUUGCUUGAAUGUCUUCUAGAUAUAAUUGUCAAGAUCAAUCAAGCUCUAGUUUGAUUCUCAUAGAAGCAUAUAUGGACUGACAGUAAUAUGGUCAAGCCAAUUCACGAUUCCUCAUAUCUUAUUCUCUUUGGCUUGACCAAUCCUCUAAAUCACUUUGUCCUCUAUUCUGGUCAUAUGUAUGUAGUGAUUUCUCAGGUCUUGUCCAUAUAUUCAAACCAAUAUAGAGAUCAUAUUAUAUCCAUUUGCAUUGUCUCAUUGGUUAUAUAACCUCGUGUUGAACCUUUGUUCACUGAUCAUUAUACACUAUUCAAGUAUGUUCAUCAUACUGAAUUUCCUGUUCAACACUUAGCAAACUCGUUAGACCUUUAAAUGUGUUGUUAUUCAAAUCACCAAAACUCACAAAAGGGACACGAGGAUUUUCAGUCCUCUGCUCUACCAAAUGAGCUAUCCUGACCCUUUCUUGUGCAUCAUCUUAGUAAAGUAUUUGCAUCUAUGUCAAUUAAAGGGACUAAAAAAUCAAUAAAGUAUUCCAUUCAAAAUUAGGAAAUGGGGAGGGGUAGUCCUAUGCAUUGUGGAUGGCUUACUUAAUAAUACUUAAAAAAACGAAUUAAUAAUCGAGAUUCCUUGCCGAUACUCUACUCUAAUAAAUAAAAAAGAAAUAAAAAAGAAAUCAUCUAUUUAAUGAAUAGCAUAAGAUUCAUUGAGUUCUUGUCGCACUCCUUUGUGAAAGAGUAGAAUGAGAAAGCUAGUGAAUCUUAAACCCAUUGAUAAAAGAAAAAAAGGAUAACAACUAUGGUUAGGGAAUAAAAGAGGGUUUGGGGAUAGAGGGACUUGAACCCUCACGACUUAUAAAGUCGACAGAUUUUCCUUUUACUAGAAAUUUCAUUGUUGUCAGUAUUGACAUGUAGAAUGGGACUCUCUCUUUAUCCUCGUCCGAUUAAUCCACUUUUAAAAAUUAAAAGAUCUCGAAAACAAUGAAUUGAAGGAUUUGAUUACUCAAUAUUUGAUUGGAAUAGAUUCACAAUAAUUCUAAAAAAAUUAUGAAUUUUCUAUUUCAUAAUCAUUCCUAAUUUCAUUCUAAAAAUAAAAUAAAGAACCUAUAUUAUAAUAUGGGUUCUGUGAUUAAUCGUUAUUACUUCGAUUCGUUAGAACAGCUUCCAUUGAGUCUCUGCACCUAUCCUUUUCCUUUGGGUUCUAGUUUGAGAACCACUUGUUUUUCAAAAAAGGGAUUUGGCUCAGGAUUGCCCAUUUUUCAUUCCAGGGUUUCUCUGAAUUUGGAAGUUACCACUUAGCAGGUUUCCAUACCAAGGCUCAAUACAAUCAAGUCCGUAGCGUCUACCGAUUUCGCCAUAUCCCCAUUUUACUUUUCUUUGAAACCAGGAUUCCUUGUAUAAUUUAAUCCAUCUCUUAGUUUUUUUUGAAUCAUUGAAUUCAUUAUUCGACGUAGUCUAGCAACUCAUCUCUAUUUGAGACACCCCGCUCACUUAUUGCAAUUCAGAAUUGCAUUGAUUUUAUCGUUGAUAUAUUUGCAAUUCAAUCGGAAUGAAUAUAUCCAAAAGUUUUUCUCUCUCCCGCCUCCCUCCUUCCUUUUUUAGAGUAUUCCAAAUCAUACUAUAACGCUUGAUAUUCAUUCUUUUUUUCUAAACUGAAUUAGAAAUUUCAUUUGCUAUGAUUCCUUCUUCUCCUUAGUGAACUAUUUAUCCUUAAAUUAUUAACAAAUAAAAAAACAAAAUAUCUCAAAAAUGUAUAUAAUGAUCAAAUGAAAAUGCCAAUCUCUUGGCAUUUUCUCUUUAUUAUAUUAUUCAUAUAUAUUCUUCUUUUUCUUCUUUUCUAUGUAUUAGAUUAUUCCUCCGAGCCAUAUCAAAUUGAAAAUAUCUGAAAUCAAAUUCAAUAUAGAAUUUGGAAUAGAUUCUAUUAAAAAAAAUCCAUUUGUGAAUUAGAGAAAUAAAAAGAAAGUUCAAUAAAUUCUAUAAUCCUAUUUAAGAAUAUCAUUUAGUUAAGCAUAUCAAGCUAACUUUAUCUUUAUGAAAUUCUAGUAUUUUUUUUCUAUCUAAGUGGAACUUCCAAUUUAGAACUAGUUAAUAACUAAGAUUAAUAAUUAAGAUCUGACAUUUUACAGAUUCCCUAUAUAUAUUUUUAUUUGUUACACUAUUUCUGUUAUGUAAGCCCACUUAGCUUAGAGGUUAGAGCAUCGCAUUUGUAAUGCGAGGGUCAUCGGUUCAAAUCCGAUAGUCGGUUUUUUUUCCUAUCGAUGUUCUAUGAACAAGAAUUUCUCUUUUUCUCCGAAUAAAAUGGGGAAUCCAGGGUCUAUUAUGUCGUUUUACCUUACAAUUUUGCUAGAUACAAAGCAUAAAAAUAAAUAAUAUAUAUACAAAAAAUCCAGAUGUUGAUGAAAUUCCAUUUUUUGUGUUACUCCAUUUUUUGUGUUACUUUAGUAGAUUUUACUCUGUUUAUCCUUUAGUUUAAUUCUGUUUGAAUUUCGCUGUAUUCUGUAAUGUAAAUAGAACAAAAUUUAUUGUGUAAAAUGAAAUUUCAAUAAAAUAAAAAAGGAGUCUUCAUGUCCCGUUAUCGAGGGCCUCGUUUAAAAAAAAUACGCCGUUUGGGAGCUUUACCAGGACUCACUAGAAAAACGCCUAAAUCCGGAAGUAAUCAGAAAAAGAAAUUCCAUUCUGGGAAAAAAGAGCAAUAUCGUAUUCGUCUUCAAGAAAAACAGAAAUUGCGUUUUCAUUAUGGUCUGACAGAACGACAAUUACUUAGAUAUGUACAUAUCACUGGAAAAGCAAAAAGAUCCACAUGUCAGGUUUUACUACAAUUACUUGAAAUGUGUUUGGAUAAUAUCCUUUUUCGAUUGGGUAUGGCUUCAACCAUUCCUGGGGCCCGACAAUUAGUUAACCAUAGACAUAUUUUAGUUAAUGGUCGUAUAGUUGAUAUACCAAGCUUUCGUUGCAAACCCCGAGAUAUUAUUACUACGAAGGAUAACCAACGAUCAAAACGUUUGGUUCAAAAUUAUAUUGCUUCAUCCGAUCCGGGCAAAUUACCAAAGCAUUUGACGGUUGACACAUUGCAAUAUAAAGGACUAGUAAAACAAAUUCUAGAUAGGAAGUGGGUCGGUCUCAAAAUAAAUGAGUUGUUAGUUGUAGAAUAUUAUUCUCGCCAGACUUGAACUUAACGAAAAAAGGAAAGGUUCAUAGAAAUUUUUUCCCCUUCCCCUUUCCCCGAACUAAAUCGACCUAAGGCUCUUAAUUCGUAUUUUCCCGUUCACCUAGCAGAAAUAGAUUAACCCUAGGAUACUUUUUUCUUUUUUGUUAUUUCCUCGAUGUGUAUUUUACAUACCACAGUAAUUUGCUAUAGAGAAUUUCUAUUAAUUAAAGGUAUUAUUGUUGGAAUAAAUUAUUAUUUAAUUUGAUACAUUGUGAUCGCUAACAUUGAUGAAUUAAGAGAAACGGAAAGAGAGGGAUUCGAACCCUCGGUAAACAAAAGUCUACAUAGCAGUUCCAAUGCUACGCCUUGAACCGCUCGGCCAUCUCUCCUACAUAAUCUUAUUAUGGAAAAUAAACUGAGUGAAUAGCGAGUUUUCGUAUUCCUGCAGUACAGGUACAGCCACAACGGCUCGGGAAUUCCAUGGCUCUAUUGGAUUGGAUGGAAAAAUUCCUUUUCAUCUAAGUGGAAGGAUCCUGUAUUUUUUUACUAGGAAUUAUGCUCCCUCGAAAAGUUUUUCUUUGGGGAAAACCAAAAUAAAAAGAGAAUGGAAGAAUUCUUCUUAUUCCAUAAGAAAAUAAAGGAACCCUAGAAUUCCAUUUGCAUAAGGUACAUUACGCCAUACAAUCUAAAUAUAAAAGGGGUAUGGGGCAAUUAAUGACUUUGAAAACGCGAAAUAGCUGAUGAGGGAAGUUGUUGUUGAGAAAUAGGAAAGUGGAAUGAAAUCCAGUCUUAGUCAAAUAUUUCAUAUCUCUUCUCUUCUUGUCCAAACAGAAGGAAAAGGAGGCAAUUUGAGCUGAGCGGAAAAUCCAUAUCUCUCUUAUCCAUUUAGAGCAUAUGGAUCGAUUUAUAAGAAUCGAAUGUUUUGUUUUUAUGUUAUUUUGUGAUAGAAUGAAAAGAAUUCUAUAUAGAAUGGGUUGGGAAUUAUGCCUAGAUCCCGUAUAAAUGGAAAUUUCAUUGAUAAGACCUCCUCGAUUGUAGCCAAUAUUUUAUUGCAAAUAAUUCCGACAACCUCCGGGGAAAAAAGGGCAUUUACUUAUUAUAGAGAUGGUGCGAUUUGACUCUUUUUUUAGCCCUACCUAUAUCUCAUUCUUACGAGAAAGAGAGAGGGUUCGCAUAGAGAGAACAAAAUUAGUAAAGGAAACCCGCGCUUGGGGAAGGUGAGGUGAACUAACAAUUCCUUCUGUCGUGUAUCCUCGAUUGAUGUGGCCUCAGAUGCUUCAAUUGUAGAUUUGAGUAUUGAGCGAAAGGUUACACCUACAGGAUAGGUUCUGUAUUACAGGGCAAUCCGACUCUACUAGUACCAAUAGGCAGCAUAGGGGAGAAAAGCACUACACCACGAAAUAGGAAUCAACAAGAGAAAAACUUUGUUAGAAAUUAGCCCUUUCCUGAUUGGUAUAAGGGUUGGGAAGAAUGGUUGGGAUAACAAACAACCAUCAGGUUUGUACUUUGGAUACCCUUAUAACCAUCAAAGGUCGUUGAAGUGGCUAAUUCCUCUAAAUAGGAGGCAUUGAGAACAAAGAAAUUCUUGGAGCUAUCGUUUUCCUCUAGCAUUAAUAUAAUUCAUUGGUGUUAAGAAAAACCUCUUGGGGGAAGGUUGGCUAGAGAUUUCUUGGAAAAAUACCAGCCCCCUUCGGUCCAUAAUGAGAUGGGACUAAUUCGAUUUUUAUUCUAUAGAUUUUUUGCUUAGUACUAUGUAUAGAAGGGAGAAGCCGUAUGAGAUGAAAACCUCAUGUACGGUUUUGGAACGGAGAUUUUUUGAAUAGAAUGAACGACCGUAACGGAUGUUGGCUCAAUCCAAAGGAAAUUAUGUGGAAGCUUUGCAGAAUUAUUAUGAAGCUACGCGACUAGAAAUUGAUCCCUAUGAUCGAAGUUAUAUACUAUAUAACAUAGGCCUUAUACACACAAGCAAUGGAGAGCAUACAAAGGCUUUGGAAUAUUAUUUCCGGGCGCUAGAACGAAACCCCUUCUUACCGCAAGCUUUUAAUAAUAUGGCCGUGAUCUGUCAUUACGUGCGACUAUCUCCACUAUAGAAAGAAGAAAAAAAACAAAGGAGGAAAUUUUCUAGUGAAUACUAGAAAAGAGGGCUUUCUACAUAGGGAUCGUCAAAACAACGAUUUUACCCUAUCAGCUGUAGGAAGGAAGGACACUUCACGAGAAUCAAAAUAGGAAGAAAGUAGAGCCUAUACUACUAUUCUAUGGAUAAAGCUGAAAUUGAUAGAGAAAACACCGUAAAGAUCAAUUAGUGAGCGACUGGGUCGAUACAACUAAAAAACUGCUUCAUUAUACCACGAUAUGGGACAAAAUUUAGGAAUCCGCUUAUGUAAUAAAGCCGAUCCACUAAGGGAUUAAGCAGCGGUGUAGUAUCAGAUCCCAAAGAUAGUAAGUUCUUUUUUCUUUCUUAUGGAAAAAUGUCUUUUUCCAGGAUUCUAUAGAAAUUUCAUAUAUGAAAGAAACGAAACCGAGAUAGUUACCUUUCAGAAAAUUCGAACGAAGGAUAUAGGUCUAUCUAUGCUUCAUUCUUCUGAAGGUGGGAGAAAAGAUCAAACUGAUUAUUGAUCAAAAUUAGGGUUUGAAACUUAGGUAAUUAACUUCUUCUGCUUAACCCAAGAAGAAAUUGGAUUGAUUUUUGAGAAAUCGAGUUCAGUUAAGAUAGGGGAAAUUAAGAUAGCAAUUUCUGAGCCGUAUGAGGUAGGAAACUCUCAAGUACGGUUCUAGGGAAAGGAACUGCCUAUUCCAACUGAGGAGAACAGGCCAUUCUACAGGGCGAUUCGGAAAUUGCGGAAGCUUGGUUUGAUCAAGCUGCUGAGUAUUGGAAACAAGCUAUAGCGCUUACUCCAGGAAAUUAUAUUGAAGCACAGAACUGGUUAAAGAUUACGAAGCGCUUUGAAUUUGAAUAAGACCACUCUCCAUUUUCAUAAAAAGGGUGGUUUUGUUGAAAAUCAAAUCAAGAAUUUCAUUAUAUCCCUUUCGUAUGACAUAUGUAGCACUUAACCCUUGCAUAUGUCAACCCGCCACCUGGGUUCUUAAGACUAGAUCAGGUUCACGCCAACCGAGAGCACAGAUACACCACCUUCCAGCCUCUUGCCACGGAGGGUACACGCUACUCUUGCCACCGCUCCACGCCCAUUGCGUGUUAUCUUAUUCUGGCCUUAGUCUGCCCGAGGCAAGGCUUACCCAUGACGAGGCAUGUGACCAGUUAAAGGGUCCUCGAUCAGCACGCCUACAUACGCAUUCAAUCCUUAAUCAACCUGGGUAGAACAUCACCUGUUCCUAGCCCAAGUCUCGAUUUAAGUACUUCCAUCCUUAGAAUUGUUUCUGUUCCUUAGGAUGAAAAGAGCAUUACAGAGAACUUUGCAGUAAGAUCCUACCAUUGCUCCCAAUGAAAAUAAUCUUGCAGGUAGAAGCCAUCCUUUCUCGAGCUAGGCUAAGAAUAACCUCUAUCCACAAGAUCUAAGCAGGGCUAAGCAUUUUUGUAAAUCAUGUUUUGAUACUUCACCAUAAGUACCUAUAUAGGUGUGGAUAGCAAGGAAGGCAAUGCAUCAAAAGGUUCCAAGCAACUCCUAUAAACUUAAUGCACAUUUCACUAGACUUAAAGUGUGCAAAAAUUAUUUAAAACAUAAAGAAGGGGUUGCAUGCACCGGGGCUUGCCUGGGUAACACUACGUUAGUGUUGUUAGACAAUGUCCACUUGACGAUCAUCCUUGUCCUAGCACUUGAUUAGGCAGGUCCGUUCAUCAGCAUCACCACGCGGAGUAGCCCGCGCUUGGGGUCGACUUGGUUCGUCUUCCGCAUCACGUGAUUAAUUAUCGUACCUGAAUGGAAUGCAUUAUGCACAUGAAUGCAUAUAGACAUGAAUACCACGAGCCUAAAUAGUGCUACGCGAUAGCGAAUUUAAACAUCUAGUGGCGAGGCGUUGUACAAUUUUGUACGGAAUCACUAGCUAGUUAUUAAUAUACGACUACACGCAAUAAUUACGCUUCUCGAACCUAACGCAAACAUCACGAACAACAAACUAUACACAUGAAAUACAAUUAGCCUAAUCACAACUUAUCAGUUAAUUAAUUAAAUUCUGAACUAAUCCCUUGCCUUAUAAAUUAUACUACAUCUUUAUAAAUGAUUAAAAUAUUUUAUCAUCACACAUGCCUACCAAAAUUCUACUCGGUCCACUAAUUCAGCUAAGUGACCAGAAUAGCGAAAUAAUUCGUCAUAGCUGAAUCUGGCUCGAUAAUCGCAAGAACUGCGAAGUCGACGAGAGUUUCGUGACUCACGCAAUUUAUCGAGCACCUUAAUGAGUAUCGCACUAGAACAUUAAUUUAUUCAACGAUCGAACUAUUCUGAAUAAUUUAUCAGCUUACCGUUUCAGCAGCUGACUCGAAGCCGCAAGAUCGAUAGCGAUUUUCCGAUCCAAGCAAUUUGUCGAACACUUGGGGAAUAUCGUGCUGCUAGCCUCGUCUUCACCCGAUUCUUGGGAUUUCUUGAUGACACACGGAUCGACGACGAUCAGGAGGGUGACAUAUAUAGAGCUGUAUUCGCGACGCGAUGACGAACGACGCUAACCGGCGGAAUCGACGACGCAAUUGGGAAUUAAAACCGAGCGAGCCGAGAGGGCACACAGGCGAGCAGGAAACCACGCGAGUACAAGAUAUGGAAAAUGACGGACUCGACAACACGCGAAGCGACGACGGUCGAAUCGGCAAUAAAGCGUUAGCGAAUUCGAUAAACACGACCUCAGUCGCGUGCUGACGCGGUUAAGAUAAUUGUGGCUAGCAAGUUUGCGACAGAGGCGAUGAUGGCAUGACACAACAAACUGAAACAGGGAUACGAUAACAUGGGGCUCGAUUCAACGCGGGAGCUCGACGCGGAAACUUGACACGCUAUGGCGAGCAGAGAACUUCGCGCGCGCCCUAGAAGAGUUCGACACGCGCAGUAGGGGCGAGCAGCAGGCGCCGAGCUGCGCGCAGGCACGCGACGGCCACGGCAAGGAAGCUCCGCAAGCUGGGCAACUACGCGUCCGUCAAGCAGAGCAGGGCAGUCGUGCCAUGGGAAAAAAAAGCAGCGCGCGCCUAGGGAAGCAGACUCCGGCAAAUCCCAGGGCGCGGCCAUGGGAGACUCGGUAGGGGCAUGACCGAGCAAAAAUGGAGCUCGGCAAACUCCAUGGGCGAGCAGAGCGCAGGGCGCUCCGGCCAGGCGAGCAGGGAGAGUACGCUAUGACUGGAAACUUGGGGAAUAAAUAAAAACGCGGCGUGCAGAGAGAAGCGACUGCCAGACGCCAUAGGAGACAGGGCGCGAUCCGAGCUCCACGACGCACAGGAAGAUGAAGAAAAACGGCUCGGCUGGGAGAUCCGGCGAGGUACUGCCGGGAGGAGCUCGCGGCUGGCCACAGAAAUCCGGGCCAGAAGGCGCGGCAGAGGAGGAGAAAUCCGCGCGCUAGGGAAACUCGACGGCUGAGCAGAAGGGCUGGAGGGAAAGGGAGGGAGGAGCGCUGGCGAGGAGAUGUGCUCGGCGCGGCGGCCAUGGAGGAGAGCAGGGGGAUGGGCGCGCCGUCAUGGGAGAGCGCCCGAGAGCUGCGCGGUCCGAGCACCAUGGGACGAGCGGAGUUCGGGGAGGAGCUCGACUGCGGUGCGUGCGCAGGGAGUUGGGAUCGGCAGGGAAGGAAGAAGCCGCGACGGGCAGUGAACCUUGGCCGGGCGCAGAAGGAUGCGCCAUGCGAGCACCGCGCGCAGACCAAGGAGAAACAGGGGACGCGCCAUAGCUGAGAGAUGAGCUCGGCUGGGAGCUACGCGCGGCCGGGAGGAGGAAGAAGCAGAGCGCGCGCCGGAGGAGCAGAGGAGAUGGACGCGCGCGCACAGAAGCUGGAGCAGAAGCACCACGCAAGGGAGAAGCUUGGCUGGAGAUUGAAGAAGAGGCUCCAUGCGUAUAAAAAGGAAAGCAGGGGCGGCAGAAAAAUCCCAGGCAGGGGCGGCUGGGCGGCGUAGGGAUAGGAACGGUAGUUUUUUUAUUUUAUUUUAUUUUUCUUUUUUUACAGAAUCCUAGAUAUUUUUGAAUUGUGAUUUUUAGCGACGAUUAAAGCGUCGACGCGUAACACGGCAAACGGCUAUACACUCUAUUUUCUGAAUCACGAAACGGAAAAUCAGAGAAAUAACAGCAUAGACGGUUCUGUUCGAAUUUCGUUGGGUAAUUUUUGUGACUAUUCCGGUCACGAUGUAAACGGACCAAUUUGCAACGAGUUUGGCUUCGAUAUUUUAAUCUACUCUGCGUGAUUGGCCGAAACCAGAGCCGCUAAUGUAUACGCGAUUUCGUCGCCAAAACAGCGUGCCGAAGAAUAAAUUGAAUUAUAUCCUUGCACACGGUUUCACUCAGACGACGCACGAUUCAGAUUAUUUUGCACCGAGUAUUUUAUUCGUCGAGUUCAAAUUAAUCUGUCCGGGAUAAAAAGGCGUAGAAAGAGGUCGAGCUUCUGAAUUCGGAUUCGCGCGGCAAUGAAUUUUAAUUAAUUAUCGGACGCACCGAUUUUCGGAUCGACGAUGUUCCGAACAUCCCGAGAAUUUAGGAAGAGCCCGGAUAAAUAGAAGUAAAAAUGAUGUCGCACUCGCGACAAAUGGAACAGAUGCGAUAUUAAAAUCGCAAUAGGCGAAAAUAAUUAGACCUUAGCGUCCGUCUUAUUCACUGAUAUCAUGUGCUUAAAUCCGUACUCGUUGUCGAGCGGAAUAUAAACACCUGGGAUGUUACAAUUCAAUUUAUCAAUCUUAGCAUUUAAACUAGCAUUUUCAUUUCUAAGAUUGCUAAUUGAAUCAUGGCACAUGCUAAGCUCCUUAGUCAAAUUUUAACAUUUUUCAACUUCCUGAGCAUAAGCAUUUUUUACUUUAACAUGUUUUUUGUUUUCUUUAAUAAGGAAUUCCUCUUAGCUAUCCAAGAGUUCAUCCUUCUCAUGAAUGACUCCUAUCAAUUCAUUUAAUUUUUCCUUUUGUUGCAUGUUGAGGUUGGCAAAAAGAGUAAGCAAAUCAUAUUCAUCUUCACUAGAACUACCCUCAUCACUAGAUGUAGUAUACUUAUGGGUGGUUCUAGAUUGUACCUUCUUCUUUUUGCCGUCCUUUGCCAUGAAGCACUUGUGGCCGACGCUGGGGAAGAGAAGGCCUUUGUUGAUGGCAAUGUUGGUGGCAUCCUCGUCGGAGGAGGAGGAGUCGGUGGAGCUCUCAUCGGAGUCCCCAUUCCCGACACACGUGGGCAUCGCCGCUCUUCUUCUUGUAGUACUUCUUCUAUUCCUUCUUCGUCCCCUUCUUGUCGUUGUCCCUGUCACUAUCACUAGACAUUGGAUAUUUAGCGAUAAAAUGAUCGGGCUUACCACAUUUGUAGCACACCCUUUUGGAGCGGGGUUUGUAAUCCUUCCGCCUCCUUUGCUUGAGGAUUUGGCGAAAGCUCUUGAUGAUGAGCGUCAUCUCCUCAUUGUCGAGCUUGGAGGCGUCGAUGGGGAGCCUACUUGAUGUAGAUUCCUCUUUCUUUUCUUCCAUCGCUUUGAAUGCGACGGGUUGCACCUCGGGUGUGGAGGUGGCGCCUUGCUCCAAGUUGACGAUAUGUUUGGAGUCUUUGAUCAUUAACUCAAAGCUCACAAACUUUCCUAUCACUUCCUCGGGAGACAUUAAUUUGUAUCUAGGAUCCCCAUGAAAUAAUUGUACUUGAGUAGGAUUGCGAAAAACAAGGGAUCUUAGAAUAACCUUGACCAUCUCAUGGUCAUCCCAUUUUGUGCUCCCGAGGUUGCGCACUUGAUUCACCAAGGUCUUGAGCCGGUUGUACAUUGCUUGUGGCUCCUCUCCUUGGUUGAGAACGAAUCGAUCGAGCUCCCCCUCGAUCGUCUCCUGCUUGGUGAUCUUGGUCACCUCAUCUCCUUCGUGUGUGGUCUUUAGGACGUCCCAAAUCUCCUUGGCACUCUUUAACCCUUGCACCUUAUUAUACUCCUCUUGACAUAAAGAGGCAAGGAGUAUAGUAGUUGCUUGGGAGUUAAAGUGUUGUAUUUAGGCGACCUCGUCUGAGUCGUAGCCCUCGUCCCCUACGGUAGGUACCUGCGCUCCAAAUUCAACAAUGUCCCAAAUGCUUGCGUGGAGUGAGGUUAGAUGAUACUUCAUUUUAUCACUCCACAUACAAUAAUCCUCACCAUCACUUCGAGUUGUUAGACUCUAAUGAAGCACCGGGCCCCGAUACCAAUUGAAAGUCGCCUAGAGGGGGUGAAUAGGCGGAAUCUGAAAAUUAUAAACUUAAGCACACACUACAAGCCGGGGUUAGCGUUAGAAAUGAAUCCGAGUUCGAAAGAGAGGGAAAACAAAUCAACCAAGAAAUAAAGCGGAUGAACACGGUGAUUUGUUUUACCGAGGUUCGGUUCUAAAGAACCUAGUCCCCGUUGAGGUGGUCACAAAGACCGGGUCUCUUUCAACCCUUUCCCUCUCUCAAACGGUCACUUAGACCGAGUGAGCCUUUUCCUUAAUCUCUCGGGUCACUUAGGCCCCGCAAGGACCACCACACACUUAGGUGUCUCUUGCUUCGAUUACAAAUCACUUGAGAAAAGAAAUGAGAAAGGAAGAAGGCAAUCCAAGAGGCAAGAGCUCAAAGAACACAAAAUCUCUCUCUCACAAGUCACUAAGUGCUUGAGUUGAAUUUGGGACUUGGAGAGGCUUUGAUCUUUUGAAUUGUAUCUAGGAGUGAAUGAUAGAGCCCUUAUAUUGAAUGUGACACUCAAAAUUCUUGGAUGCUUGGAGUGGUGGUGGUUGGGGUAUUUAUAGCCCUCAACCACCAAAAAACCGUUGGGGCAGGCCGCUGUCGAUGGGCGCACCGGACAGUCCGGUGCGCCACCAGACACUAUCCGGUGUGCCAGCCACGUCACCCAACCGUUAGGGUUCUAGAGCAGUUGACCGUUGGAGGCUUUGUCCUCUAGUGGCAUCGGACAGUCCGGUGCCGCACCGGACAGGCAUUGUUCAGUGUCCGGUGCGCCUCUGACCUCUGUUCUGACUUCUGCCACGCACUGUAACGUUGUCAGGGGCACUGUUGCAGUCGACCGUUGCGCUGGUGAUGGCGUCCAAGCAAUAGCGAGAUGGGCACGCAGACGAUCAGCUUCUAUUUUAUUGCUGCGGAGAGGCGGUUGGGACGUCAGUAGGCACCGGCGGAGCUGCGGUCAAUGGCGGCGAUUCUGUUACACCCCAGCGUAUGGAUCGGAGAGGCCGGUAAUGACAUGUGGGCCCCGGCUGACAGUCGCGACCCGGAUCCGCGCCCAACGGUGUAUAAGUGAAAGGGAAAUGUGCCCUUGGGCCAUUUCUAAGUAUUUUGGUGAUUAAGUGUCCAACACAAAUGAUUAUGUGUUAAUCUAUGCCAAAUGGUAGACAAAGUGCAAUUUAAUACAAAGGUAUGAUUCUAGACUUAGUACAUUGGUUUUUGUGUACUAACAUAUUUGUCUAAGUGCUAGAAUCAGAGAAAAAGACAAAUGAAAAAGACUUGGCUCGAGCAGCCAAGACUCUGCUCAGUCCGGGUGCACCGGACAGUGUCCGGCGAGGCAUGCUGACGCUGGUCAACUGGCCGCUCUCGAGAACUCAACGGCGGUGUACCAGAGCCGUUCUCUUCAAGAAAGGGACUAAUCGCCCGAAGAGAUGGAUCCUAAGGGAAAGGGGAUGGUGGUCAACGACAAUGAGAAGGAGUCCAUCUUCAACGAGCCAAGGGACGACAAAGUCAAUGACUCCGGCUCGAGUCAAAAGAAGAAAGACGGAAAGAAGAAGAGGUGCAUCAAGAAGGUUGUCUACUACGACAGCGACGAACCUUCCUCUUCUCAAAAGGACGACGAAUACGAAGAGAAAAAGAAAACGGUUAACUCGAACUUUUCUUUUGAUUAUUCUCGUAUUCCGCAUAAUUCAAAUGCUCAUUUGCUUUCCAUUCCACUUGGUAAACCCCCACACUUUGAUGGAGAGGACUACGGAUUUUGGAGUCACAAAAUGCGUAGCCACUUGUUUUCUCUUCAUCCAAGUAUAUGGGAGAUAGUAGAAAAUGGGAUGCAAUUUGAUAGUUCAGAUAACUCCAUGUUUAUUAAUGAACAGAUCCAUAAAAAUGCACAAGCUACUACUAUUCUUUUAGCAUCCUUGUGCAGGGAAGAAUAUAAUAAGGUGAGCGGAUUGGAUAACGCCAAGCAGAUCUAGGACACCCUCAAGAUCUCGCAUGAGGGGAACGACGUCACCAUGCUCACCAAGAUGGAGUUAGUGAUAGUCGCCUAGAGGGGGGGGUGAAUAGGGCGAAACUGAAGUUUACAAAUAUAAACACAACUACAAGCCGGGUUAGCGUUAGAAAUAUAAACGAGUCCGCGAGAGAGGGUGCAAAACAAAUCGUAAGCAAAUAAAUAGUGUGACACACGGAUUUGUUUUACCGAGGUUCGGUUCUCGCAAACCUACUCCCCGUUGAGGAGGCCACAAAGGCCGGGUCUCUUUCAACCCUUCCCUCUCUCAAACGGUCCCUCGGACCGAGUGAGCUUCUCUUCUCAAAUCAAAGCUGGGAACAAAACUUCCCCGCAAGGGCCACCACACAAUUGGUGCCUCUUGCCUUGAUUACAAUGGAGUUUUGAUCACAAGAACAAGUGAGAAAGAAAAGAAGCAAUCCAAGCGCAAGAGCUCAAAUGAACACGGCAAAUCACUCUCACUAGUCACUAGGGUUUUGUGUGGAAUUGGAGAGGAUUUGAUCUUUUUGAAUGUGUCUAGAAUUGAAUGCCUAGCUCUUGUAAGUGGUUGAGAAGUGGGAAAACUUGGAUGCAAUGAAUGGUGGGGUGGUUGGGGUAUUUAUAGCCCCAACCACCAAAAGUGGCCGUUGGGAGGCUGUCUGCUCGAUGGCGCACCGGACAGUCCGGUGCACACCAGACAGUCCGGUGCCCCCUGCCACGUCAUCACUGCCGUUGGAUUCUGACCGUUGGAGCUUCUGACUUGUGGGCCCGCCUGGGUGUCCGGUGCACACCGGACAGGUACUGUUUCUUGUCCGGUGUGCCAGUAUGGGCACUCCUGCCAUCUGCGCGCGCAGAGCGCGCAUUUAAUGCGCGGCAGAGAGCCGUUGGCGCGGAGAUAGCCGUUGCUCCGGAGUCGCACCGGACAGUCCGGUGCACACCGGACAGUCCGGUGAAUUAUAGCGGACUAGCCGUUGGAGUUUCCCAAAGCUGGCGAGUUCCUGAGGCCGACCACCCUUGGCGCACCGGACACUGUCCGGUGUACACCGGACAGUCCGGUGAAUUAUAGCGCGAGUGCCUCUGGAAAUUCCCGAAGGUAGCGAGUUGGAGUCUGAGUCCCCCUGGUGCACCGGACAUGUCCGGUGGCGCACCGGACAGUCCGGUGCGCCAGACCAGGGGUGCCUUCGGUUGCCCCUUUGCUCCUUUGUUGAAUCCAAAACUUGGUCUUUUUAUUGGCUGAGUGUAAACCUUUUACACCUGUAUACUCUAUACACUUGGGCAAACUAGUUAGUCCAAAGAUUUGUGUUGGGCAAUUCAACCACCAAAAUUAUAUAGGAACUAGGUGUAAGCCUAAUUCCCUUUCAAUCUCCCCCUUUUUGGUGAUUGAUGCCAACACAAACCAAAGCAAAUAUAGAAGUGCAUAAUUGAACUAGUUUGCAUAAUAUGAGUGUAAAGGUUGCUUGGAAUUGAGCCAAUAUAAAUACUUAUAAGAUAUGCAUGGAUUGUUUCUUCAUUUUUAACAUUUUGGACCACGCUUGCACCACAUGUUUUGUUUUUGCAAAUUCUUUUGUAAGUCUAUUUCAAAAUUCUUUUGCAAAUAGUCAAAGGUAAAUGAAUAAGAGUUUGCAAAGCAUCUUCAAGAUUUGAAAUUUUCUCCCCCUGUUUCAAAUGCUUUUCCUUUGACUAAACAAAACUCCUCCUGAAGGAGAUCCACCUCUUAGAGUUCAAGAGGGUUUUGAUAUAUUUUGAAAUACUACUUUCUCCCCCUUCUUGAACAUAAUAGGAUACUAUUUGAUAAAUACUCUUGGAAAACACUAAGUUUUUUUGAAAUUGGUGGUGGUGCGGUCCUUUUGCUUUGGGCUCAUACUCUCUCCCCUUUGGCAUGAAUCGCCAAAAACGGAAUCAUUAGAGCCCUCGAAGUGCUAUCUUCCUCUUUGGUCAUAAAUAAAUGGGUUAAGAUUAUACCAAAGGAGAAGUCCUUUUCUUUGAUGCUCAUUUCUCCCCAAAGAAUAGAGAGUUGCUUGGAGUGAUGGCGAAGUAUGAGUUACGGAGUGGAAGCCUUUGUCUUCGCCGAAGACUCCAAUUCCCUUUCAAUGUACCUAUGACUUGGUUUAAAAUAGACUUGAAAACACAUUAGUCAUAGCAUAUGAAAGAGACAUGAUCAAAGGUAUAUUUAUGAGCUAUGUGUGCAAGCUAGCAAAAGAAAUUUCUAGAAUCAAGAAUAUUGAGCUCAUGCCUAAGUCUGGUAAAAGAUUGUUCAUCAAGUGGCUUGGUAAAGAUAUCGGCUAAUUGAUCUUUAGUAUUAAUGUAAGAAAUCUCGAUAUCUCCCUUUUGUUGGUGAUCCCUAAGAAAAUGAUACCGAAUGGCUAUGUGCUUAGUGCGGCUGUGCUCGACGGGAUUGUCGGCCAUUUUGAUUGCACUCUCAUUAUCACAUAGCAAAGGGACUUUGGUUAAUUUGUAACCGUAGUCCCGCAGGGUUUGCCUCAUCCAAAGCAAUUGCGCGCAACAAUGUCCUGCGGCAAUGUACUCGGCUUCGGCGGUGGAAAGAGCGACCGAAUUUUGCUUCUUUGAAGCCCAAGACACCAAGGAUCUUCCCAAGAACUGGCAAGUCCCCGAUGUGCUCUUCCUAUUAAUCUUACACCCCGCCCAGUCGGCAUCCGAAUAACCAAUUAAAUCAAAUGUGGAUCCCCGAGGGUACCAAAGCCCAAACUUAGGUGUAUAAGCCAAAUAUCUCAAGAUUCGUUUUACGGCCGUAAGGUGGGAUUCCUUAGGGUCGGAUUGGAAUCUUGCACACAUGCAAACGGAAAGCAUAAUGUCCGGUCGAGAUGCACAUAAAUAAAGCAAUGAACCAAUCAUCGACCGGUAUACCUUUUGAUCCACGGACUUACCUCCCGUGUCGAGGUCGAGAUGCCCAUUGGUUCCCAUGGGUGUCUUGAUGGGCUUGGCAUCCUUCAUUCCAAACUUGCUUAGGAUGUCUUGAGUGUACUUCGUUUGGCUAAUGAAGGUGCCCUCUUGGAGUUGCUUUACUUGGAAUCCUAAGAAAUACUUCAACUCCCCCAUCAUAGACAUCUCGAAUUUCUGUGUCAUAAUCCUACUAAACUCUUCACAUGUAGACUCGUUAGUAGACCCAAAUAUAAUAUCAUCAACAUAAAUUUGGCAUACAAACAAGUCAUUUUCAAGAGUUUUAGUAAAGAGUGUAGGAUCGGCCUUGCCGACUUUGAAGCCAUUAGCAAUAAGGAAAUCUCUAAGGCAUUCAUACCAUGCUCUUGGGGCUUGCUUGAGCCCAUAAAGCGCCUUAGAGAGCCUAUAGACAUGGUUAGGGUACUCACUAUCUUCAAAGCCGGGAGGUUGCUCAACAUAGACCUCUUCCUUGAUUGGUCCAUUGAGGAAGGCACUUUUCACGUCCAUUUGAUAAAGCUUAAAGCCAUGGUAAGUAGCAUAGGCUAAUAAUAUGUGAAUUGACUCAAGCCUAGCUACGGGUGCAUAGGUUUCACCGAAAUCCAAACCUUCGACUUGGGAGUAUCCCUUGGCCACAAGUCGUGCUUUGUUCCUUGUCACCACACCAUGCUCAUCUUGCUUGUUGCGGAAGACCCAUUUGGUUCCUACAACAUUUUGGUUAGGACGUGGAACCAAAUGCCAUACCUCAUUUCUAGUGAAGUUGUUGAGCUCCUCUUGCAUCGCCACCACCCAAUCCGAAUCUUGGAGAGCUUCCUCUAUCCUGUGUGGCUCAAUAGAGGAAACAAAAGAGUAAUGUUCACAAAAAUGAGCAACCCGAGAUCUAGUAGUUACCCCCUUAUGAAUGUCGCCGAGGAUGGUGUCGACGGGGUGAUCUCGUUGGAUUGCUUGGUGGACUCUUGGGUGUGGCGGUCUUUGCUCUUCAUCCUCCUUGUCUUGAUCAUUUGCAUCUCCCCCUUGAUCAUUGCCGUCACCUUGAGGUGGCUCAUUUGCUUGAUCUUGUACUUCAUCAACUUGAGCUUCAUUCUCAUUUUGAGUUGGUGGAGAUGCUGGCGUGGAGGAGGAUGGUUGAUCUUGUGCAUGUGGAGGCUCUUCGGAUUCCUUAGGACACACAUCCCCAAUGGACAUGUUCCUUAGUGCUAUGCAUGGAGCCUGUUCUUCACCUGUCUCAUCAAGAUCAACUUGCUCUACUUGAGAGCCGUUAGUCUCAUCAAACACAACGUCACAAGAAACUUCAACAAGUCCUGAGGACUUGUUAAAGACUCUAUAUGCCCUUGUGUUUGAGUCAUAUCCUAGUAAAAAGCCUUCUACAGUUUUAGGUGCAAACUUAGAUUUUCUACCUCUCUUAACAAGAAUAAAGCAUUUGCUACCAAAAACUCUAAAAUAUGAAACAUUUGGCUUUUUACCGGUUAGGAGUUCAUAGGAUGUCUUCUUGAGGAUUCGGUGAAGAUAUAACCGGUUGAUGGCGUAGCAAGCGGUGUUGACCGCCUCGGCCCAAAACCGGUCCGGUGUCUUGUACUCAUCAAGCAUGGUUCUUGCCAUGUCCAAUAGAGUUCGAUUCUUCCUCUCCACUACACCAUUUUGUUGUGGAGUGUAGGGAGAAGAGAACUCAUGCUUGAUGCCCUCCUCCUCAAGAAAACCUUCAAUUUGAGAGUUCUUGAACUCCGUCCCGUUGUCGCUUCUUAUUUUCUUGAUCCUUAAGCCGAACUCAUUUUGAGCCCGUCUCAAGAAUCCCUUUAAGGUCUCUUGGGUUUGAGAUUUUUCCUGUAAAAAGAAUACCCAAGUGAAGCGAGAAUAAUCAUCCACUAUUACAAGACAAUACUUACUCCCGCCGAUGCUUAUGUAAGCAAUCGGGCCGAAUAGAUCCAUGUGGAGUAGCUCAAGCGGCCUGUCGGUCGUCAUGAUGUUCUUGUGUGGAUGAUGGGUUCCAACUUGCUUUCCCGCCUGGCAUGCGCUACAAACCCUGUCUUUCUCAAAAUGAACAUUUGUUAAUCCUAAAAUGUGUUCUCCCUUUAGAAGCUUGUGAAGAUUCUUCAUCCCAACAUGGGCUAGUCGGCAGUGCCACAGCCAACCCAUGUUAGUCUUAGCAAUUAAGCAAGUGUCGAGUUCAGCUCUAUCAAAAUCUACCAAGUAUAGCUGACCCUCUAACACUCCCUUAAAUGCUAUUGAAUCAUCACUUCUUCUAAAGACAGUGACACCUACAUCAGUGAAUAGACAGUUGUAGCCCCUUUGACAUAAUUGGGAUACGGAAAGCAAAUUGUAAUCUAAAGAAUCUACAAGAAAAACAUUGGAAAUAGUAUGGUCAGGUGAUAUAGCAAUUUUACCCAAUCCUUUGACCAAACCUUGAUUUCCAUCCCCGAAUGUGAUAGCUCGUUGGGGAUCUUGAUUUUUCUCAUAUGAGGAGAACAUCCUUUUCUCCCCGGUCAUGUGGUUUGUGCAUCCGCUGUCGAGUAUCCAACUUGAGCCCCCGGAUGCAUAAGCCUACAAAACAAGUUUAGUUCUUGACUUUAGGUACCCAAACUGUUUUGGGUCCUUUGGCAUUAGACACAAGAACUUUGGGUACCCAAACACAAGUCUUUGACCCCUUGUGUUUGCCCCCAACAAACUUGGCAACGACCUUGCCGGAUUUGUUAGUCAAAACAUAGGAUGCAUCAAAAGUUUUAAAUGAAAUAGCAUGAUCAUUUGAUGCAUUAGGAGUUUUCUUUCUAGGCAAUUUAGCAUGGGUUGUUUGCCUAGAGCUAGAUGUCUCACCCUUAUACAUAAAAGCAUGAUUAGGGCCAGAGUGAGACUUCCUAGAAUGAAUUUUCCUAAUUUUGCUCUCGGGAUAACCGGCAGGGUAUAAAAUGUAACCCUCGUUAUCCUGAGGCAUGGGAGCCUUGCCCUUAACAAAGUUAGAUAAGUUCUUUGGAGGGGCAUUAAGUUUGACAUUGUCUCCCCUUUGGAAGCCAAUGCCAUCCUUGAUGCCAGGGCGUCUCCCAUUAUAAAGCAUGCUACGAGCAAAUUUAAAUUUCUCAUUUUCUAAGUUGUGCUCGGCAAUUUUAGCAUCUAGUUUUGCUAUAUGAUCAUUUUGUUGUUUAAUUAAAGCCAUAUGAUCAUGAAUAGCAUCAAUAUCAACAUUUCUACAUCUAGUACAAAUAGUGACAUGCUCAAUGGUAGAUGUUGAUGGUUUGCAAGAAUUAAGUUCAACAAUCUUAGCACGAAGUAUAUCAUUCUUAUCUCUAAGAUCGGCAAUUGUAACUUUGCAAACAUCAAAAUCUUUAGCCUUAGCAAUCAAAUUUUCAUUCUCUAAUCUAAGGCUAGCAAGAGAAAUGUUUAAUUCUUCAAUCCUAGCAAGCAAAUCAUCAUUAUUAUCUCUAGAAUUGGGAAUUAAAACAUUACAAACAUGAGAAUCAACCUUAGCAUUUAAACUAGCAUUUUCAUUUCUAAGGUUGUCAAUCAUCUCACGGCAAGUGCUUAGCUCACUAGACAAUUUUUCACAUUUUUCAACUUGUAGAGCGUAAGCAUUUUUAACCUUAACAUGUUUCUUAUUUUCCUUGAUUAGGAAGUCCUCUUGGGAGUCCAAGAGAUCAUCCUUUUCAUGGAUGGCACUAAUUAGCUCAUUUAAUUUUUCUUUUUGUUCCAUGUUGAGAUUGGCAAAAAGGAUACGCAAAUUAUCUUCCUCACCACUAGCAUUAUCAUCACUAGACGAUUCAUAUUUAGUGGAGGAGUUGGAUUUAACCUUCUUCCUUUUGCCGUCCUUUGCCAUGAGGCACUUGUGGCCGACGUUGGGGAAGAGGAGUCCCUUGGUGACGGCGAUGUUGGCGGCGUCCUCGUCGUCGGAGGAGUCGCUAGAGCUUUCGUCGGAGUCCCACUCCCGACAAACAUGGGCAUCGCCGCCCUUCUUCUUGUAGUACCUCUUCUUCUCCUUUCUUCUCCCCUUCUUGUCGUCGCCCCUGUCACUAUCACUUGAUAAUGGACAUUUAGCAAUAAAGUGACCGGGCUUACCACAUUUGUAGCAAACCUUCUUGGAGCGGGACUUGUAGUCUUUCCCUCUCCUUUGCUUGAGGAUUUGGCGGAAGCUCUUGAUGACGAGUGCCAUUUCCUCAUUGUCGAGCUUGGAGGCGUCUAUUGGUUGUCGACUUGGUGUAGCCUCCUCCUUCCUCUCCUCCGUUGCUUUGAAUGCAACGGGUUGAGCUUCGGAUGUGGUGGCAUCAUCAAGCUCGUUGAUCUUCCUUGAGCCUUCGAUCAUGCACUCAAAACUCACAAAAUUCCCGAUAACUUCCUCGGGGGUCAUUUUAGUAUAUCUAGGAUUACCACGGAUUAAUUGAACUUGAGUAGGGUUAAGGAAAAUAAGAGAUCUUAGAAUAACCUUAACCAUCUCGUGGUCAUCCCACUUUACGCUCCCGAGGUUACGCACUUGAUUCACCAAGGUCUUGAGCCGGUUGUACAUGUGUUGUGGCUCCUCCCCUUUGCGAAGCCGGAACCGACCGAGCUCCCCCUCGAUCGUUUCCCGCUUGGUGAUCUUGGUGAGCUCGUCUCCCUCGUGCGCGGUUUUGAGCACAUCCCAAAUCUCCUUAGCGCUCUUCAACCCUUGUACUUUGUUAUACUCCUCUCUACUUAGAGAGGCGAGGAGUAUUGUUGUUGCUUGAGAGUUGAAGUGCUCGAUUUGGGCCACCUCAUCCUCAUCAUAGUUCUCAUCCCCUACCGACGGUACCUGUGCACCAAACUCAACAACAUCCCAUAUACUUUUGUGGAGCGAGGUUAGAUGAAAUCGCAUUAAAUCGCUCCACCUAGCGUAAUCUUCACCAUCAAAAGUUGGUGGUUUGCCUAACGGGACGGAAAGUAAAGGUGUAUGUUUGGAAAUGCGAGGGUAGUGUAGGGGGAUCUUACUAUACUUCUUGCGCUCUUGGCGCUUAGAAGUGACGGAGGGCGCAUCGGAGUCGGAGGUCGAUGUUGAUGAAGUGUCGGUCUCGUAGUAGACCACUUUCCUCAUCCUCUUGUGCUUGUCGCCUUUCCGAUGCGGCUUGUGGGAAGAAGAUUUCUCCUUCUUCUCUUUGUGGUGAGAAGAGGAAGACUUUUUCUCCUUCCGUUUGGAGGAGUCCUUCUUCUUCUCCUUCCUCUUGGUGCGGGACUCUUCCGAUGAAGUGCUCCCGUGGCUUGUAGUGGGCUUUUCGCUGGUCUCCAUCUCCUUCUUGGCGUGAUCUCCCGACAUCACUUCGAGCGGUUAGGCUCUAAUGAAGCACCGGGCUUUGAUACCAAUUGAUAGUCGCCUAGAGGGGGGGUGAAUAGGGCGAAACUGAAGUUUACAAAUAUAAACACAACUACAAGCCGGGUUAGCGUUAGAAAUAUAAACGAGUCCGCGAGAGAGGGUGCAAAACAAAUCGUAAGCAAAUAAAUAGUGUGACACACGGAUUUGUUUUACCGAGGUUCGGUUCUCGCAAACCUACUCCCCGUUGAGGAGGCCACAAAGGCCGGGUCUCUUUCAACCCUUCCCUCUCUCAAACGGUCUCUCGGACCGAGUGAGCUUCUCUUCUCAAAUCAAAGCUAGGAACAAAACUUCCCCGCAAGGGCCACCACACAAUUGGUGCCUCUUGCCUUGAUUACAAUGGAGUUUUGAUCACAAGAACAAGUGAGAAAGAAAAGAAGCAAUCCAAGCGCAAGAGCUCAAAUGAACACGGCAAAUCACUCUCACUAGUCACUAGGGUUUUGUGUGGAAUUGGAGAGGAUUUGAUCUUUUUGAAUGUGUCUAGAAUUGAAUGCCUAGCUCUUGUAAGUGGUUGAGAAGUGGGAAAACUUGGAUGCAAUGAAUGGUGGGGUGGUUGGGGUAUUUAUAGCCCCAACCACCAAAAGUGGCCGUUGGGAGGCUGUCUGCUCGAUGGCGCACCGGACAGUCCGGUGCACACCAGACAGUCUGGUGCCCCCUGCCACGUCAUCACUGUCGUUGGAUUCUGACCGUUGGAGCUUCUGACUUGUGGGCCCGCCUGGGUGUCCGGUGCACACCAGACAGGUACUGUUUCUUGUCCGGUGUGCCAGUAUGGGCACUCCUGCCAUCUGCGCGCGCAGAGCGCGCAUUUAAUGCGCGGCAGAGAACCGUUGGCGUGGAGAUAGCCGUUGCUCCGGAGUCGCACCGGACAGUCCGGUGCACACCGGACAGUCCGGUGAAUUAUAGCGGACUAGCCGUUGGAGUUUCCCGAAGCUGGCGAGUUCCUGAGGCCGACCACCCUUGGCGCACCGGACACUGUCCGGUGUACACCGGACAGUCCGGUGAAUUAUAGCGCGAGUGCCUCUGGAAAUUCCCGAAGGUAGCGAGUUGGAGUCUGAGUCCCCCUGGUGCACCGGACAUGUCCGGUGGCGCACCGGACAGUCCGGUGCGCCAGACCAGGGGUGCCUUCGGUUGCCCCUUUGCUCCUUUGUUGAAUCCAAAACUUGGUCUUUUUAUUGGCUGAGUGUAAACCUUUUACACCUGUAUACUCUAUACACUUGGGCAAACUAGUUAGUCCAAAGAUUUGUGUUGGGCAAUUCAACCACCAAAAUUAUAUAGGAACUAGGUGUAAGCCUAAUUCCCUUUCAAUCUCCCCCUUUUUGGUGAUUGAUGCCAACACAAACCAAAGCAAAUAUAGAAGUGCAUAAUUGAACUAGUUUGCAUAAUAUGAGUGUAAAGGUUGCUUGGAAUUGAGCCAAUAUAAAUACUUAUAAGAUAUGCAUGGAUUGUUUCUUCAUUUUUAACAUUUUGGACCACGCUUGCACCACAUGUUUUGUUUUUGCAAAUUCUUUUGUAAGUCUAUUUCAAAAUUCUUUUGCAAAUAGUCAAAGGUAAAUGAAUAAGAGUUUGCAAAGCAUCUUCAAGAUUUGAAAUUUUCUCCCCCUGUUUCAAAUGUUUUUCCUUUGACUAAACAAAACUCCUCCUGAAGGAGAUCCACCUCUUAGAGUUCAAGAGGGUUUUGAUAUAUUUUGAAAUACUACUUUCUCCCCCUUCUUGAACAUAAUAGGAUACUAUUUGAUAAAUACUCUUGGAAAACACUAAGUUUUUUUGAAAUUGGUGGUGGUGCGGUCCUUUUGCUUUGGGCUCAUACUCUCUCCCCUUUGGCAUGAAUCGCCAAAAACGGAAUCAUUAGAGCCCUCGAAGUGCUAUCUUCCUCUUUGGUCAUAAAUAAAUGGGUUAAGAUUAUACCAAAGGAGAAGUCCUUUUCUUUGAUGCUCAUUUCUCCCCAAAGAAUAGAGAGUUGCUUGGAGUGAUGGCGAAGUAUGAGUUACGGAGUGGAAGCCUUUGUCUUCGCCGAAGACUCCAAUUCCCUUUCAAUGUACCUAUGACUUGGUUUAAAAUAGACUUGAAAACACAUUAGUCAUAGCAUAUGAAAGAGACAUGAUCAAAGGUACAUUUAUGAGCUAUGUGUGCAAGCUAGCAAAAGAAAUUUCUAGAAUCAAGAAUAUUGAGCUCAUGCCUAAGUCUGGUAAAAGAUUGUUCAUCAAGUGGCUUGGUAAAGAUAUCGGCUAAUUGAUCUUUAGUAUUAAUGUAAGAAAUCUCGAUAUCUCCCUUUUGUUGGUGAUCCCUAAGAAAAUGAUACCGAAUGGCUAUGUGCUUAGUGCAGCUGUGCUCGACGGGAUUGUCGGCCAUUUUGAUUGCACUCUCAUUAUCACAUAGCAAAGGGACUUUGGUUAAUUUGUAACCGUAGUCCCGCAGGGUUUGCCUCAUCCAAAGCAAUUGUGCGCAACAAUGUCCUGCGGCAAUGUACUCGGCUUCGGCGGUGGAAAGAGCGACCGAAUUUUGCUUCUUUGAAGCCCAAGACACCAAGGAUCUUCCCAAGAACUGGCAAGUCCCCGAUGUGCUCUUCCUAUUAAUCUUACACCCCGCCCAGUCGGCAUCCGAAUAACCAAUUAAAUCAAAUGUGGAUCCCCGAGGGUACCAAAGCCCAAACUUAGGUGUAUAAGCCAAAUAUCUCAAGAUUCGUUUUACGGCCGUAAGGUGGGAUUCCUUAGGGUCGGAUUGGAAUCUUGCACACAUGCAAACGGAAAGCAUAAUGUCUGGUCGAGAUGCACAUAAAUAAAGCAAUGAACCAAUCAUCGACCGGUAUACCUUUUGAUCCACGGACUUACCUCCCGUGUCGAGGUCGAGAUGCCCAUUGGUUCCCAUGGGUGUCUUGAUGGGCUUGGCAUCCUUCAUUCCAAACUUGCUUAGAAUGUCUUGAGUGUACUUCGUUUGGCUAAUGAAGGUGCCCUCUUGGAGUUGCUUUACUUGGAAUCCUAAGAAAUACUUCAACUCCCCCAUCAUAGACAUCUCGAAUUUCUGUGUCAUAAUCCUACUAAACUCUUCACAUGUAGACUCGUUAGUAGACCCAAAUAUAAUAUCAUCAACAUAAAUUUGGCAUACAAACAAGUCAUUUUCAAGAGUUUUAGUAAAGAGUGUAGGAUCGGCCUUGCCGACUUUGAAGCCAUUAGCAAUAAGGAAAUCUCUAAGGCAUUCAUACCAUGCUCUUGGGGCUUGCUUGAGCCCAUAAAGCGCCUUAGAGAGCCUAUAGACAUGGUUAGGGUACUCACUAUCUUCAAAGCCGGGAGGUUGCUCAACAUAGACCUCUUCCUUGAUUGGUCCAUUGAGGAAGGCACUUUUCACGUCCAUUUGAUAAAGCUUAAAGCCAUGGUAAGUAGCAUAGGCUAAUAAUAUGUGAAUUGACUCAAGCCUAGCUACGGGUGCAUAGGUUUCACCGAAAUCCAAACCUUCGACUUGGGAGUAUCCCUUGGCCACAAGUCGUGCUUUGUUCCUUGUCACCACACCAUGCUCAUCUUGCUUGUUGCGGAAGACCCAUUUGGUUCCUACAACAUUUUGGUUAGGACGUGGAACCAAAUGCCAUACCUCAUUUCUAGUGAAGUUGUUGAGCUCCUCUUGCAUCGCCACCACCCAAUCCGAAUCUUGGAGAGCUUCCUCUAUCCUGUGUGGCUCAAUAGAGGAAACAAAAGAGUAAUGUUCACAAAAAUGAGCAACCCGAGAUCUAGUAGUUACCCCCUUAUGAAUGUCGCCGAGGAUGGUGUCGACGGGGUGAUCUCGUUGGAUUGCUUGGUGGACUCUUGGGUGUGGCGGUCUUUGCUCUUCAUCCUCCUUGUCUUGAUCAUUUGCAUCUCCCCCUUGAUCAUUGCCGUCACCUUGAGGUGGCUCAUUUGCUUGAUCUUGUACUUCAUCAACUUGAGCUUCAUUCUCAUUUUGAGUUGGUGGAGAUGCUGGCGUGGAGGAGGAUGGUUGAUCUUGUGCAUGUGGAGGCUCUUCGGAUUCCUUAGGACACACAUCCCCAAUGGACAUGUUCCUUAGUGCUAUGCAUGGAGCCUGUUCUUCACCUGUCUCAUCAAGAUCAACUUGCUCUACUUGAGAGCCGUUAGUCUCAUCAAACACAACGUCACAAGAAACUUCAACAAGUCCUGAGGACUUGUUAAAGACUCUAUAUGCCCUUGUGUUUGAGUCAUAUCCUAGUAAAAAGCCUUCUACAGUUUUAGGUGCAAACUUAGAUUUUCUACCUCUCUUAACAAGAAUAAAGCAUUUGCUACCAAAAACUCUAAAAUAUGAAACAUUUGGCUUUUUACCGGUUAGGAGUUCAUAGGAUGUCUUCUUGAGGAUUCGGUGAAGAUAUAACCGGUUGAUGGCGUAGCAAGCGGUGUUGACCGCCUCGGCCCAAAACCGGUCCGGUGUCUUGUACUCAUCAAGCAUGGUUCUUGCCAUGUCCAAUAGAGUUCGAUUCUUCCUCUCCACUACACCAUUUUGUUGUGGAGUGUAGGGAGAAGAGAACUCAUGCUUGAUGCCCUCCUCCUCAAGAAAACCUUCAAUUUGAGAGUUCUUGAACUCCGUCCCGUUGUCGCUUCUUAUUUUCUUGAUCCUUAAGCCGAACUCAUUUUGAGCCCGUCUCAAGAAUCCCUUUAAGGUCUCUUGGGUUUGAGAUUUUUCCUGUAAAAAGAAUACCCAAGUGAAGCGAGAAUAAUCAUCCACUAUUACAAGACAAUACUUACUCCCGCCGAUGCUUAUGUAAGCAAUCGGGCCGAAUAGAUCCAUGUGGAGUAGCUCAAGCGGCCUGUCGGUCGUCAUGAUGUUCUUGUGUGGAUGAUGGGUUCCAACUUGCUUUCCCGCCUGGCAUGCGCUACAAACCCUGUCUUUCUCAAAAUGAACAUUUGUUAAUCCUAAAAUGUGUUCUCCCUUUAGAAGCUUGUGAAGAUUCUUCAUCCCAACAUGGGCUAGUCGGCGGUGCCACAGCCAACCCAUGUUAGUCUUAGCAAUUAAGCAAGUGUCGAGUUCAGCUCUAUCAAAAUCUACCAAGUAUAGCUGACCCUCUAACACUCCCUUAAAUGCUAUUGAAUCAUCACUUCUUCUAAAGACAGUGACACCUACAUCAGUGAAUAGACAGUUGUAGCCCCUUUGACAUAAUUGGGAUACGGAAAGCAAAUUGUAAUCUAAAGAAUCUACAAGAAAAACAUUGGAAAUAGUAUGGUCAGGUGAUAUAGCAAUUUUACCCAAUCCUUUGACCAAACCUUGAUUUCCAUCCCCGAAUGUGAUAGCUCGUUGGGGAUCUUGAUUUUUCUCAUAUGAGGAGAACAUCCUUUUCUCCCCGGUCAUGUGGUUUGUGCAUCCGCUGUCGAGUAUCCAACUUGAGCCCCCGGAUGCAUAAGCCUACAAAACAAGUUUAGUUCUUGACUUUAGGUACCCAAACUGUUUUGGGUCCUUUGGCAUUAGACACAAGAACUUUGGGUACCCAAACACAAGUCUUUGACCCCUUGUGUUUGCCCCCAACAAACUUGGCAACGACCUUGCCGGAUUUGUUAGUCAAAACAUAGGAUGCAUCAAAAGUUUUAAAUGAAAUAGCAUGAUCAUUUGAUGCAUUAGGAGUUUUCUUUCUAGGCAAUUUAGCAUGGGUUGUUUGCCUAGAGCUAGAUGUCUCACCCUUAUACAUAAAAGCAUGAUUAGGGCCAGAGUGAGACUUCCUAGAAUGAAUUUUCCUAAUUUUGCUCUCGGGAUAACCGGCAGGGUAUAAAAUGUAACCCUCGUUAUCCUGAGGCAUGGGAGCCUUGCCCUUAACAAAGUUAGAUAAGUUCUUUGGAGGGGCAUUAAGUUUGACAUUGUCUCCCCUUUGGAAGCCAAUGCCAUCCUUGAUGCCAGGGCGUCUCCCAUUAUAAAGCAUGCUACGAGCAAAUUUAAAUUUCUCAUUUUCUAAGUUGUGCUCGGCAAUUUUAGCAUCUAGUUUUGCUAUAUGAUCAUUUUGUUGUUUAAUUAAAGCCAUAUGAUCAUGAAUAGCAUCAAUAUCAACAUUUCUACAUCUAGUACAAAUAGUGACAUGCUCAAUGGUAGAUGUUGAUGGUUUGCAAGAAUUAAGUUCAACAAUCUUAGCACGAAGUAUAUCAUUCUUAUCUCUAAGAUCGGCAAUUGUAACUUUGCAAACAUCAAAAUCUUUAGCCUUAGCAAUCAAAUUUUCAUUCUCUAAUCUAAGGCUAGCAAGAGAAAUGUUUAAUUCUUCAAUCCUAGCAAGCAAAUCAUCAUUAUUAUCUCUAGAAUUGGGAAUUAAAACAUUACAAACAUGAGAAUCAACCUUAGCAUUUAAACUAGCAUUUUCAUUUCUAAGGUUGUCAAUCAUCUCACGGCAAGUGCUUAGCUCACUAGACAAUUUUUCACAUUUUUCAACUUGUAGAGCGUAAGCAUUUUUAACCUUAACAUGUUUCUUAUUUUCCUUGAUUAGGAAGUCCUCUUGGGAGUCCAAGAGAUCAUCCUUUUCAUGGAUGGCACUAAUUAGCUCAUUUAAUUUUUCUUUUUGUUCCAUGUUGAGAUUGGCAAAAAGGAUACGCAAAUUAUCUUCCUCACCACUAGCAUUAUCAUCACAAGAACAAGUGAGAAAGAAAAGAAGCAAUCCAAGCGCAAGAGCUCAAAUGAACACGGCAAAUCACUCUCACUAGUCACUAGGGUUUUGUGUGGAAUUGGAGAGGAUUUGAUCUUUUUGAAUGUGUCUAGAAUUGAAUGCCUAGCUCUUGUAAGUGGUUGAGAAGUGGGAAAACUUGGAUGCAAUGAAUGGUGGGGUGGUUGGGGUAUUUAUAGCCCCAACCACCAAAAGUGGCCGUUGGGAGGCUGUCUGCUCGAUGGCGCACCGGACAGUCCGGUGCACACCAGACAGUCUGGUGCCCCCUGCCACGUCAUCACUGUCGUUGGAUUCUGACCGUUGGAGCUUCUGACUUGUGGGCCCGCCUGGGUGUCCGGUGCACACCGGACAGGUACUGUUUCUUGUCCGGUGUGCCAGUAUGGGCACUCCUGCCAUCUGCGCGCGCAGAGCGCGCAUUUAAUGCGCGGCAGAGAGCCGUUGGCGCGGAGAUAGCCGUUGCUCCGGAGUCGCACCGGACAGUCCGGUGCACACCGGACAGUCCGGUGAAUUAUAGCGGACUAGCCGUUGGAGUUUCCCGAAGCUGGCGAGUUCCUGAGGCCGACCACCCUUGGCGCACCGGACACUGUCCGGUGUACACCGGACAGUCCGGUGAAUUAUAGCGCGAGUGCCUCUGGAAAUUCCCGAAGGUAGCGAGUUGGAGUCUGAGUCCCCCUGGUGCACCGGACAUGUCCGGUGGCGCACCGGACAGUCCGGUGCGCCAGACCAGGGGUGCCUUCGGUUGCCCCUUUGCUCCUUUGUUGAAUCCAAAACUUGGUCUUUUUAUUGGCUGAGUGUAAACCUUUUACACCUGUAUACUCUAUACACUUGGGCAAACUAGUUAGUCCAAAGAUUUGUGUUGGGCAAUUCAACCACCAAAAUUAUAUAGGAACUAGGUGUAAGCCUAAUUCCCUUUCAGUUAGUAGAAGGCGAACUUGGAAGGUUCGCAAUGAUCAGGGGAGAGGAGCCAACUCAAACAUACAAUAGGCUCAAGACCCUGGUCAACAAGAUAAGAAGCUAUGGAAGCACGAGAUGGACGGACCACGACGUCAUCUGACUUAUGCUAAGGUCCUUCGCAGUCCUUGAUCCUCAUCUUGUAAACUCUAUUCGUGAGAAUCCUAGGUACAUCAAGAUGACGCUCGAGGAAAUACUCGGAAAGUUUGUAAGCGGGCGAAUGAUGAAGGAGGUGAGAUACGUUGAUGAGGCAUUGAAUGGCCCAAUCUACGAGCCUCAAGCCGUUGCUCUCAAAGCAACAAGUAGCAGGGAGGCGCUACCUAGCAAGGUGGCGCAAGUUGAGGCGGCAGGCUAAAUGAAGAUGAAAUGGCCCUCAUCAUCAAGCGCUUCAAGACGGCACUCAAAGGUCGCAAGGAGCACCCCAACAAGAGCAAAACGAAGGGGAAGUGCUCCUGCUUCAAGUGUGGUAAGGUUGGUCACUUUAUUGCUAACUGUCCUGAUAAUGAUAGUGACCAGGAUCAAGGAAAGAGCGGAAAGUGGGAAAAGAAGAAGACCUACAAAAAGACGAAGGGCGAGGCACACCUUGGAAAGGAGUGGGAUUCGGAUUGUUCCUCGUCCGACUCCGACAACGAAGGGCUCGCCGCCUCAGCCUUCAACAAGUCGGCUCUCUUCCCCAACGAGCACCACACCUGCCUCAUGGCAAAGGAGAAGAAGGUAAGUACUCAAAGUACCACUACGUAUGCCUCUUCAUGUGACGAUGAGUCUAGUGAUGAUGAAGUAGACUACGCUAGCUUAUUCAAAGGUUUGGAUAGAACUAAAAUUGACAAGAUCAAUGAAUUAAUUGAUGCUUUGAAUGAGAAGAAUAGAUUGUUAGAGAAGCAAGAAGAUCUUUUAUAUGAAGAGCAUGAUAAAUUUGUUAGUGCACAAAAUUCUCUUGCUUUAGAAGUUAAAAGGAAUGAAAUGCUUUCUUGUGAAUUAUCUACUUGCCAUGAGACUAUUUCUAGUUUAAAAAGUAUUAAUGAUGAUUUAAAUGCUAAGCUAGAAGUAGCAAGUAAAUCUAGUUCUUGUGUAGAACAUGUAGUGAUUUGCAAUAGGUGUAAGGACUUUAAUGCUGAUGCAUGUGUUGAACACCUUACUUCUAUUACAAAACUAAAUGGUGAAGUGGCUAGUCUUAAUGCCCAACUUAAGACUAGCAAAAAUGAAUUCGAUAAACUAAAAUUUGCAAGGGAUGCCUACUCUGUUGGUAGACACCCCUCAAUUAAGGAUGGACUUGGCUUUAAGAGGGAAGCCAAGAACUUAACAAGUCAUAAGGCUCCCAUCUCCGCCAAGGAGAAAGGGAAGGCACCUAUGGCAAAUAGUGUUCAAAAGAACCAUGCUUUCAUUUAUAGUGAUAGAAAAUUCUCUAGAAAUGUUUAUAGGAAUUAUUCUUAUGAUUCAUAUGCUAUGCCUGCUUCUAGUUCUUCUAUUGUGCAUGAUAUGCCUAGGAAAAAUGUUAUUCUUCACAUGCCUAGGAGAAAUGUUGUUCAUGUAUCUAGGAAAGCAAGUAAUGAACCUUCUACAAUUUAUUAUGCUUGCAAUGCUUCCUUUGCAAUUUGUAGAAAGGAUAAGAAAGUGAUUGCUAGGAAAUUAGGGGCAAAAUGCAAGGGAGAUAAAACUUGCAUUUGGGUCCCUAAGGCUAUUGUCACUAACCUUGUAGGACCAAACAAGAGUUGGGUACCUAAGACCCAAGCCUAAAUUGCCUUGCAGGUUUAUGCAUCCGGGGGCUCAAGCUGGAUUAUCGACAGCGGAUGCACAAACCACAUGACGGGGGAGAAGAAGAUGUUCACCUCCUACGUCAAGAACAAAGAUUCCCAAGAUUCAAUCAUAUUCGGUGAUGGGAACCAAGGCAAGGUUAAAGGUCUAGGAAAGAUUGCUAUUUCAUCCGAGCACUCCAUCUCUAAUGUGUUUUUAGUUGAGUCGCUUGGGUAUAACUUGUUGUCCGUUAGUCAACUUUGUAAUAUGGGUUAUAAUUGCUUAUUCACAAAUGUAGAUGUGUUUGUCUUUAGAAGAAGUGAUGGUUCAUUAGCUUUUAAGGGUGUACUAGACGGCAAACUUUAUUUAGUUGAUUUUGCAAAAGAGGAGGCCGGUCUAGAUGCAUGCUUAAUUGCUAAGACUAGCAUGGGCUGGCUGUGGCAUCGCCGUUUAGCACAUGUGGGGAUGAAGAACCUUCACAAACUUCUAAAGGGAGAACAUGUGUUAGGUCUAACAAAUGUGACUUUCGAAAAAGAUAGACCUUGUGCAGCUUGUCAAGCAGGUAAACAAGUGGGAAAUGCUCAUCACAGCAAGAACGUGAUGACCACAUCAAGACCCCUGGAGCUGCUGCAUAUGGACCUCUUCGGACCCGUCGCCUACCUUAGCAUCGGGGGAAGUAAGUAUGGUUUAGUAAUUGUUGAUGAUUUUUCCCGCUUCACUUGGGUAUUCUUUUUGCAGGAUAAAUCUGAAACCCAAGGGACCCUCAAGCGCUUCCUAAGGAGAGCUCAAAAUGAAUUUGAGCUCAAGGUGAAAAAGAUAAGGAGCGACAACGGGUCGAGUUCAAGAACCUUCAAGUGGAGGAAUACCUUGAGGAGGAAGGAAUCAAACAUGAGUUCUCCGCUCCCUACACACCACAGCAAAACGGUGUGGUAGAAAGGAAGAACAGGACGCUCAUCGACAUGGCGAGGACGAUGCUUGGAGAGUUCAAGACGCCCGAGCGAUUUUGGUGGGAAGCCGUGAACACGGAUUGCCACGCCAUAAACUGGGUCUACCUUCAUCGCCUCCUCAAGAAGACUUCGUACGAACUCCUAACCGGUAACAAACCCAAUGUGUCAUACUUUCGUGUUUUUGGGAGCAAAUGUUACAUUCUAGUGAAGAAAGGUAGAAAUUCUAAGUUUGCUCCCAAAGCUGUAGAAGGGUUUUUGUUAGGUUAUGACUCAAAUACAAAGGCGUAUAGGGUCUUCAACAAAUCAUCGGGUUUGGUUGAAGUCUCUAGCGACGUUGUAUUUGAUGAGACUAAUGGCUCUCCAAGAGAGCAAGUUGUUGAUCCUAAUGAUGUAGAUGAAUAUGAUGUUCCAACAGACGCAAUUCGCACCAUGGCGAUUGGAGAUGUGCGACCACAGGAACAUCAAGAGCAAGAUCAACCUUCUUCCUCAACAAUGGUGCAACCCCCAACUCAAGACGAUGAACAGGUUCAUCAAGAAGAGGCGUGUGAUCAAGGGGGAGCACAAGAUGAUCAUGUUUUGGAGGAAGAAGCACAACAUGCCCCUCCAACUCAAGUUCGAGCGACGAUUCAAAGGAAUCAUCCCGUCGACCAGAUAUUGGGUGAUAUUAGCAAGGGAGUAACUACUCGCUCUAGAUUAGUUAAUUUUUGUGAGCAUUACUCUUUUGUCUCUUCUAUUGAGCCUUUCAGGGUAGAAGAGGCCUUGCUAGAUCCGGACUGGGUGUUGGCCAUGCAGGAGGAGCUCAACAAUUUCAAGAGAAAUGAAGUUUGGACACUGGUGCCACAUCCUAAGCAAAACGUUGUGGGAACCAAGUGGGUGUUCCGCAACAAACAUGACGAGCACAGGGUGGUGACAAGGAACAAGGCACGACUUGUGGCAAAAGGUUAUGCCCAAGUCGCAGGUUUGGACUUUGAGGAGACUUUUGCUCCUGUUGCUAGGCUAGAGUCAAUUCGCAUAUUGUUAGCCUAUGCCGCUCACCAUUCUUUCAGGUUGUUCCAAAUGGAUGUGAAGAGCGCUUUCCUCAACGGGCCAAUCAAGGAGGAGGUGUACGUAGAGCAACCCCCUGGCUUUGAGGAUGAACGGUACCCCGACCAUGUGUGUAAGCUCUCUAAGGCGCUCUAUGGACUUAAGCAAGCCCCAAGAGCAUGGUAUGAAUGCCUUAGAGACUUUUUAAUCGCUAAUGCUUUCAAGGUUGGGAAAGCCGAUCCAACUUUAUUCACUAAGACUUGUGAUGGUGACUUAUUUGUGUGCCAAAUUUAUGUCGAUGACAUAAUAUUUGGUUCUACUAACCAAAAGUCUUGUGAAGAGUUUAGCAGGGUGAUGACUCAAAAGUUUGAAAUGUCAAUGAUGGGUGAGUUGAACUACUUCCUUGGGUUCCAAGUGAAGGAACUCAAGGACGGCACUUUCAUCUCCCAAACGAAGUACACGCAAGACUUGAUCAAGCGGUUUGGGAUGAAGGACGCCAAGCCCACUAAGACUCCAAUGGGAACUGACGGACACGUCGACCUCAACAAAGGAGGUAAGUCCGUUAAUCAAAAAGCAUACCGGUCUAUGAUAGGUUCCUUACUUUACUUAUGUGCUAGUAGACCGGAUAUUAUGCUUAGUGUAUGCAUGUGUGCUAGAUUUCAAUCCGAUCCAAGGGAGUGUCACUUAGUGGCCGUGAAGCGAAUUCUUAGAUAUUUAGUCGCUAUGCCUUACUCCGGGAUCUGGUAUCCAAAGGGGUCUACCUUUGACUUAAUUGGAUAUUCAGACUCCGAUUAUGCUGGAUGUAAGGUUGAUAGGAAGCGUACAUCAGGGACGUGUCAAUUCUUAGGAAGGUCCCUGGUGUCUUGGAGUUCUAAGAAACAAACUUCCGUUGCCCUAUCCACCGCUGAGGCCGAGUACGUUGCAGCAGGACAGUGUUGCGCGCAACUACUUUGGAUGAGGCAAACCCUCAUGGACUUUGGCUACAAUCUGAGCAAAGUCCCACUCAUAUGUGAUAAUGAGAGUGCAAUCCGCAUGGCGGAUAAUCCUGUUGAACACAGCCGCACUAAGCACAUAGACAUCUGGCAUCACUUUUUGAGAGACCACCAGCAAAAGGGAGAUAUCGAAGUGUUUUAUGUUAGCACCGAGAACCAGCUAGCCGAUAUCUUUACCAAGCCUCUAGAUGAGUCAACCUUUUGCAGGCUGCGUAGUGAGCUAAAUGUCUUAGAUUCGCGGAACUUGGAUUGAUAUAUAGCAUACAUGUGUUUUAUGCCUUUGAUCAUGUCCCUUUAUGCAUCUUGUUGUUAUUUAUGGUGUUCAAGUUGUACAAACACUCCCCGGACCUCAAAAGUCCAUGUGUGAGUGAUGCACAUAUUUAGGGGAGAUGUACUACAACUUGACCCUUUGAGACUAAUCGUGUGCUUGAGUUUACUUGCUUUAGUCUCAAAGGUGGAUUGAAAGGAAAAUGUGAACUUGGAUCAUGAAAGACUUCCACUGCACUCCGAUGAGAGGGUAACUUACUCCAAGUUCAUCUCCAUACUCUUAUUGCCUUUUACUCUUAUUCGACGAUUUUGGUGAGGCAAUGGGGUUUGAGGGCCAAGAUUGAUCCCGUUUUGGUGCUUGAUGCCAAAGGGGGAGAAAAUAAGGCCAAAGCAAGAAAUGGAUCAGCUACCACUUGAAAAUUUUGAAAAAGUAGAGUUAGAGUUUUUGUUUUGUCAAGAUACUCUAAGUGUUUCUUUUGUCAAAAAUUGAUCUCUUGUGGGGAGAAUGUUUAAUUAUGGGAAAUAGGGGGAGUUUUUGAAUCUUUGAUUAAUUUCUCUUGGAAUAUCUCUCUCUAUGCCUCAACAAGUGAAUUUGACUUAGAGAUAGGAAAUUGAGUUUGAUUUGCAAAAACAAACCAAGUGGUGGCAAAGAAUGAUCCAAAUAUGCCAAAAUUUGAAUCAAAACAAAUUCUUGUUCUCUUUUGCAUUGAUGUUGCACUUCUAUAUGUUGCUUUUUGCUGUGUUGGCAUAAAUCACCAAAAAGGGGGGAGAUUGAAAGGGAAAUGUGCCCUUGGGCCAUUUCUAAGUAUUUGGGUGAUUAAGUGUCCAACACAAAUGAUUAUGUGUUAAUCUAUGCCAAAUGGUGGACAAAGUGCAAAUCAAUACAAAGGUAUGAUUCUAGACUUAGUACAUUGGUUUUUGUGUACUAACAUAUUUGUCUAAGUGCUAGAAUCAGAGAAAAAGACAAAUGGAAAAGACUUGGCUCGAGCAGCCAAGACUCUGCUCAGUCUGGGUGCACCGGAUAGUGUCCGGUGGUGCACCGGACAGUGUCUGGUGCGCCAGGCUGGCGCUGGUCAACUGGCCGCUCUCGGGAACUCAACGGCGGCAUACGGCUAAAAAUCACCGGACUGUCCGGUGGUGCACCGGACUGUCCGGUGAGCCAACGGUCGGCCGAGCCAACGGUCGGCCGCGCAAUCCGCGCGUGACACGUGACCGGGCCAACGGUCUGAAGGGGGCACCGGACUGUCCGGUGCGUCAAUGGCUCUAAUUUCUCAAUGGUAGGUUGCGCCAGAACAGGAAAGAAAUCUGCACCGGACUGUCCGGUGCACCACCCGACAGAAGGCAAGGAUAGCCUUCCCGGAUUGCUCUCAACGGCUCCUAGCUGCCUUGGGGCUAUAAAAGGGACCCCUAGGCGCAUGGAGGAGGACACCAAGCAUACUUUGAGCAUUCUUGAUCAUUCACACUUCGUCUUUGCGCACUCGUUUGACAUUCUUAGUGGUUUGAGCUCCGUUCUAGUGAGAACCUUGUGAUAUUCAUUUGAGCUCAAGUCUUGGCCGUGUGUGUGCGUAUUGCUGUGGAUUUGUGUGUGUUGCUUCCCUCCCUUACUCUAGUGCUUUCACUUUGAUUCUCAUUGUAAGGGCAAGAGACUCCAAGUUGUGGAGAUUCCUCGCAAACGGGAAAGAGUAAAGAAGGAAGAACACCGUGGUAUUCAAGUCGAUCAUCAGAUCACUUGAGAGGGGUUGAGUGCAACCCUCGUCCGUUGGGACGCCACAACGUGGAGUAGGCAAGUGUUGUACUUGGUUGAACCAUAAGAUAAUCCUCGUGUCUCUUGUGCUUGUUCUCACUGUGUCUAUUUUGCUUCACAAGAGCUCUCCUUAGCCAAUUGAUUUUAUUGUGCUAACUCCUAACCAAGUUUUGUGUCUUUAAGUUUCAAGUUUUUAUAGGAUCACCUAUUCACCUCCCCUCUAGGUGCUCUCAAUAAGCGGCUGACGCAUUGGUCCCGCCCGCCAGUGAGCGGGAGCGAGGGAGGUAGUGGGCUGCGGGGAAGAGGGAACUAACUUGGGCCGGGUGAGAGACUUUUGGCCCAGGUGUAGAUAUGGUCUUUUCUUUUCUAUUUUCCUUUCUUCCUUUCCAAAUUCAACUUCAAUUUCCAAUUUAAAUUCAAAUCUUGUGGCAAAUUAUCCUCAGAUUAUAUUGUGCAAUUAGGAGUACUAAUUUUGGAGAUAUUUAUAUAUAUAUAUAUAUUUCAUAUCCUUUCUCCUUUUUCCCAUUUCCAUUUUUCAAACCUAAAUCACCAUUUAGGCUUUCAAUUCAAUUUCCUCGUCAUUACAUUUUGAUUAAUAGUGUUGCUAUUAUUAUUAUAUGCACAAGCAACAAAACUCCAGCAUGAUGCACACUUUAUUGAGGUAUUAUUUAUUUUUUAACAUGUCUCCUAAUAACUUUUUAUGAAUGAGAAAGCAAUACUUUAAAAUUUUAUUCCUCUCUUUAGUUUUCCAAAGUUGGGUAUUACACGGUAUAACGUUGUCGGGGACCAUAAUUAGGGGUACCCUCAAGGCUCCUAAUUCUCAGCUGGUAACCCCCAUCAGCAUAAAGCUGCAAAGGCCUGAUGGGUGCGAUUAAGACAGGGAUCAGUCCAUUCGAGGGACUCGAUCACGCCUCGCCCGAGCCUAGCCUCGGACAAGGGCAGCCAACCCCGGAGGAUCUCCGCCUCGCCCGAGGCCCCCCUCCAGCGGCGAACAUGUUUUCCGGCUCGCCCGAGGCCCUGUCUUCGCUAAGAAGCAACCUUGACCAAAUCGCUGCACCGACCGACCAAAUCGCAGGAGCAUUUAAUGCAAAGGUGGCCUGACGCCUUUAUCCUGACGCGCGCCCCUCAGCCGACAGAGCCGAAGUGACCGCCGUCACUUCGCCGCUCCACUGACCGGUCUGACAGAAAGACAGCGCCGCCUGCGCCGCUCCGACUGCGGUGCCACUUGAUAGAGUGAGGCUGACAGGCAGUCAGGCCCGGCCGCAGGCACCAUAGGAAGCUCCGCUCCGCCCAACCCAGGGCUCGGACUCGGGCUAAGCCCCGGAAGACGGCGAACUCCGCUCCGCCCGACCCAGGGCUCGGACUCGGGCUAAGCCCCGGAAGACGGCGAACUCCGCUCCGCCCGACCUAGGGCUCGGACUCGGGCUAAGCCCUGGAAGACGGCGAACUCCGCUCCGCCCGACCCAGGGCUCGGACUCGGGCUAAGCCCCGGAAGACGGCGAACUCCGUUCCGCCCGAACCAGGGCUCGGACUUGGGCUCAGCCCCAGAAGACGACGAAUUCUGCUCCGCCCGACCCAGGGCUCGUACUUGGGCUCAGCCCUGGCCUCAGCCAACGGCCUCCGCCUCGCCCGACCUAGGGGCUCGGACUCGACCUCGGCCACGGAAGACGGACUCGACCUCGACCUCGGAGGAGCCUCCACAUCGCCCAACCUAGGGCGCGGGCCGGCCACGUCAACGGGAGGCGCCAUCAUUACCCUACUCCAAGCUGACUCAGGCUACGGGGAACAAGACCGGCGUCCCAUCUGGCUCGCUCUGCCAGAUAGGCAAUGAUGGCGUCCCGCACGCUCCCUGACGAUGGCGGCUCUCGGCCCCCUUACGGAAGCAAGAGGACGUCAGCAAGGACUCGACAGCCCCGACAGUUGUCCCUCCGCCUGGCUCCAGCGCUCCUCCGACGGCCACGACAUCACACAAACCGGGUGCCAAAAUCUCUCCGGCCGCCACGAUGGCGUGUACUUAGGGCGCUAGCUCUCCUCCGCUAGACACGUAGCACUCUGCUACACCCCCCAUUGUACACCUGGAUCCUCUCCUUACGCCUAUAAAAGGAAGGACAAGGGCCCUCUUAGAGAGGGUUGGCCGCACGGGGACGAGGACGAGACAGGCGCUCGCGUGAGGUCGCUCGCUCCCUCUCCCGUGUGAACGCUUGUAACCCCCUACUGCAAGCGCACCCGACCUGGGCGCGGGCUGAACACGAAGGCCACGGGAUUCCCACAUCUCUCACGCCUGUCUUCGGCCACCUCACUUCCCCCCUUCGCGCUCGGCCUUGCGUCGACCCAUCUGGGCUGGGGUACGCAGCGACAUUCACUCAUCGGCUUAGGGACCACCCAGUCUCGAAACACCGACAGUUGGCGCACUUGGUAGGGGCCUGCUGCGUGUUGACGAAUAGCUUCCCGUCAAGCUCCAGAUGGGCAGUCUCCAGCAACCUCGCCGGCCCGGGACGGUGCUCCGUUUCGGGAACCUUGAGUUCAUGUCCCUCGACGGCAGCUACGACAUGAUACUCUUCCCACCGCCGGGCGACAGUGACAAUGGCGGUCGACAGCCCGCCCGCCGGCGGCGGAAUCGACGACGUCUUCCCCGCGUGGUGGAAGAACAACCUUCGAGCUCGCCCCGUCCUCUUCCCCGCCGACGGAGGAGGAGGCGGGGCAACCAAGGCCAAGCAGGAGGCAGCGCCUCGUCGGCUGUUGAGCGAGUCGACAACGCCAGCACCCCAGCGGGGGGCGCGUCGGGCAUCGACCUCGCACUUGAGACAAAGACGAGCGCUGUCUCCCCGCGACACGCCAAUCCCGAGCAAACGGACGAUGCCAGCACGCUCGCGGAAGGCUUGUUGGGUGUCACCCUCUUACCUGAGACGACGGUGUAGUCAGUCCCCGACGUGACUUCAUCACCACCCGUCGACCAAGAGGUACCGACCAAUUCCCAUCCCACGCCUUUCGGAUUCAGCCUCGACCCGCCUAGCGGCUUCGCUUUGGCAGACGCUCUCGUAGAGGCGAGUCCGAACCCUCUGGGGUUUCAUAUGCGGUCACCUUGGGACCGGCUGACGGACGUCUCGACCUAUGGGCCCUCUGGGUCCGAGGAAGACGAUGAGCCCAGCUUCUGUUGGGAUUUCUCCGGACUUGGCAACUCCAGUGCCAUGCGGGACUUCAUGACCGCAUGCGACUACUGCCUUUCCGACUGUUCCAACGGUAGCCGUAGCCUCGGUGACGAGGACUGCGGCCCAAGCCGCGAAUGUUUCCACGUCGAUCUAGGGGGUCCCUCCGAAGGCGACCAUCUCGGCAUGUCGGAGGACGGUGAUCUUCCUAGGUCGGUGCCUCGCGUUGACAUCCCACGGGAGCUAGCUGUGGUCCCCGUUCCGGCGGGGGGUCACGACCCACAGCUCGAGCUAAUCCGCGGGGUGCAGGCCAGGCUCGACGAGGGAGCAGGAGCGCUUGAGCCAAUCCGCCGGGACGUCGGGCAGGCAUGGGCGGGCCAACCUCCGGCCGGAGAAAUGCGUCAUCUACCCCAGGGCUUCCAGCACCGCAUCGCCGACGAUGUCAGGGUCAGGCCGCCACCCGCAUCCAGUGGGGUCAGCCAGAACCUAGCUGCAGCAGCAAUGCUCCUCCGCGCGAUGCCAGAGCCAUCAACCACCGAGGGGCGGCGAAUCCAGGGAGAGCUCAAGAAUCUCCUGGAAGGCGCCGCGGUCCGGCGGGCCGAGAGCUCCGCCUCCCGAAGGCAGGGCUACCCCUCGGAACAUCAUGCCGCGACUUCCCGAUUCAUGCGGGAAGCCUCGGUCUACACCGGGCGCACGCGCAACACAGCGCCUGCGGCCCCGGGUCGCCUCGGCAACGAGCACCAUCACCGCGACCGUCGAGCCCACCUCGACGAGAGGGUGCGCCGAGGCUACCACCCCAGGCGUGGGGACGCUACGACAGCGGGGAGGAUCGAAGUCCCUCGCCCGAACCACCCGGUCCGCAGGCCUUCAGCCGGGCCAUACGACGGGCGCCGUUCCCGACCCGGUUUCGACCCCCGACUACUAUCACAAAGUACUCGGGGGAGACGAGACCGGAACUGUGGCUCGCGCACUACCGUCUGGCCUGCCAACUGGGUGGAACGGACGAUGACAACCUCAUCAUCCGCAACCUCCCCCUGUUCCUCUCCGACACCGCUCGCGCAUGGUUGGAGCACCUGCCUCCGGGGCAGAUCUCCAACUGGGACGACCUAGUCCAAGCUUUCGCCGGCAAUUUCCAGGGCACGCACGUACAAGCAGCCGGGAGAGUCUCUCCGGGACUACAUCCGGCGAUUCUCGAAGCAGCGCACCGAGCUGCCCAACAUCACCGACUCGGAUGUCAUCGGCGCGUUCCUCGCCGGCACCACCUGCCGCGACCUGGUGAGCAAGCUGGGUCGCUGUAACAACCUAGAGUCCUAUUUUGGUAUUUAAGGAAACCUUCUAAAGAUUUAAAAAUUUCAAGUGUCUGGGAUAAAGAUUUUUUCUCACCUUUUAGAUUAAUCUCCUAAGACAAAUAAAAGGAAAAACUAGAUGGUUCAAAUGUAGAUUUGAAUUCAAAACACUGGAUUUGAAUUUAAGCAAACAAAGAUAUUCUCUUCCUGUAUUAGAGUGGAUUAUUGGUUACAAAAAAAACACUACCAAAUUACAUACAAAGUUAGAAGCAUUUAUAUACAUGAGAAGAACAAUAAAUAAAAAUUAUAUUUUUGCAUUCAUAUUGAAGCUUUUGUUUGUGCAUUUAGAUGUAGUUUGUAUUUCAAAACCAAACUUCAAAUUUAAUUAGACUUUGAAAACAGGAAAUAAAUAAAAAAGAACUAAGCCUACCUGUUGGGUCAUGCGCCAUGCACAUGCACAUGCAAAUCGAGCUGGUGGUAACAAACUUUGCUUCCUACUCGGUCUCUCUCUCCGUUGCGUGUGCCCGGCCAUUUUGCAUGUGGAUACGGAGGUCAGCACCGCCUCCAUCGCAACAAACUGCAUGCAUCGCGCGGAUGUCACCAGCGAACUCCGUAUCCCACGAAUCUCGCCCCUAGCUCAAGCUAAACGAACUCCUCCACAAAUCCUGAACAAGCUAUGGCUUCCAUAACCACCGUCGUAUUUUUCUUUUUCUCAGACUCGGCGGAUGUCUUGCGGCCUUGGAUCUGCCUACUGGGAUAUAUAAAUCCCUGACCGCUUCCUUGCUUGAUCCGCGCCACUGCUAGGUGCCGGGCACGGGUCUUCGUCGCCAAGCCAUCGGGCGUCUGGCAAGAUGCGCGGUGCGAAGCCAAGAAAAUAGAUAGAGGAAAGAGAAGAGGACACCCACCAUCCGCAGAGAGGAAUUUGAGAGAGAAGGGUCCGCCGCCUAGGCAAUCCUGCUGCCUGCUGAGUCCAGAUACGAACUCCCAGCUGGGUGAUUCCCUCUGUUCUCCACGUCGUGUUUCGCUGGUAGGCAUGGAAUAGUUCAUCGGUGCAUCGGGCUGGGACUCGUCGGUGCGUUGCCGCCCAGCAUCGUUUGCUGCUGCUCUACUUCAAGUGCAGGUAUGGCCCCAUGCGAUGCUCCACGGCCUAUUAAACCAUAUAGAUUGAAGCUUGGUCGCCGGGUCGAUGGGUGGGGCAGUCCUAGCUAUAGCGCCGCCGUGGGGAGGAAGUGCGAUCAUCGGGGUAGUUAGUGAGUGGGAUAAGAAAGAGAUAGAAAUGGGUGCUGCUCGGGUGCCGUCAGUCUUGAGAUAAACGGUCAGGAUUAGGCGAGCACAUCCCACGUGGGCGACCGUCGAUCUGUGAAGUAAUGGUCAGGAUCAGAUCGAUCUUACCUCUUCGCUAUGUUAAAUCGUGAUCGUAUAUUUCACAUCCGAUGGUCGUCUUGGCGUACCGGUUCAUAAAGAGGAUUGUAUAAUCUACGCCGUUGAUCCUGCAUCCAGCGGUGCUCGUUGGCUGAUACCCCUUCGGCCGAGACACUUUCUAGUAAAGCCCCUCUGUUUUUAAGAAGUGAACCCGCCAUCCAUUAUAGUAUUUAGAUCAUUACACUGCGGUCCUGGAAUUUAUAGUUUGAACCCUGAACUUCUCCAGAUUCGUGUGCGCAGUCCUGAGGUCCGAGAAAAUAGGAAAAAGGGUUUAGAAAAUAGAUUUUUAGUGCCAAAAUAAUUCCAGAACUUAUAUAAUUCAUAGAAAAUUCAUCUUAGCUUCUUUUUAAUCCAUUUACUGUUGCAAUAAUUUUAUAUUAAUAUUGUUUAUCACUUGGUAACUCUGUUUAUACAUGAAACCUAGAUUAAAUUUGUCUACUUAAUUUAUUCCAUACCAAUCACUUAAUAACUUUAGAAAAUCAUAACUCAAUAACCGUAACUUCGAAUUUAGUGAUUCUCGAGCCCACGAUCUCGUAGCGACGUGCAGAUUAUUAUUAUUCAGUUUAUUCUUAUGUUUGGUGUAAUGUUAAUUUUGCCUAUACCAUGUUUGUUUGUAUUGCUACGACUAGCGUGAGGACACGUGUCAUCUGAAGAGCAAGUUGGUACCUGGAAUCUCAAGUCCCAGGCAAGUUGUGCCCUUGAUCACUUCUUUUACCCACUCAUGUUUUAAUUAAUCAUAAUGAUCUGCAUAGGUUAAUUUUGAUGGGACCUAAUAGGUUACCCUAGUUUGUCUAUCCUUAUGCCUUGUUUACCACUGAACUUUUUGGGUAGUACUUGCUAGUGCUAUAUGUGGUUUUGGGCAUUGAGAUACACAAUAUUCAUGAUUAUACUUUUGUUAUCCGUUGUUAUUUACUGUUCAUGUCAAGAUCAUUAAUGUUAAUUGGAACAUAGAGCUUAACUUGAGAAACACGUGCCACCACAAGGGUUUAUGGACGCCCUUGGCUGAUUAAUUAGGAAAGCUAGUGGAGGACUACCUUACCCGAAAGGGGCAAGGGCAGUAGGGGAGUGGUCAGUGUAGGGAGGUCCUUGGUUGAUUUUGCUGCGAUGGCGGUCAGGCAAGAACCCUGCAUUGGAGCUUCCUAUAAACUGUAGCGGGUUUUCUGAAGCUAGUGGAACCUUGUAAAGGCCUCGUAGUGUUACCCUGCCCCGCCUCCUCGGUAAAGGUGUAUGGGAAGUCGCGAUCCCUUGGCAGAUGGGUAACAUGACUUGUGGGUAAAGGGUACAACCUCUGCAGAGUGUAAAACUGGUAUACUAGCCGAGCUCACGGUCAUGAGCAGCUCAGGACUCUCUGAUGAUUAAAUUAUGGAACUUAAACUCAAUUUGUCAUAUGCAUUGCAUCGCAGGUGACGUUGUUACUUUUGUUCUACUACUUAAUUGGGUUGGUAUUUACUUAUACUUAGUAAUUGCUAAUAAAAUUUUGACCAACUUUAAAAGCAAUGCUAAAGCUCUAACCAUCCUCUUUGGUAAGCCUUACACUUCACGUGAGCUCCCACCUUUGGCGAGUUCAUGCACAUUAUUCCCCACAACUUGUUGAGCGAUGAACGUAUGUGAGCUCACUCUUGCUGUCUCACACCCCCCCACAGGUCAAGAACAGGUACCGUAGGAUGAGGCGCAUGGAGGAUGCUGUGGCGAGUUCGUGAGAGGUCUAGGUCGUCGUCUCCCAGUCAACUUUGGGUUGCUGGACCGUUGUCUCCUUAUAAUGUAAUUACUUAUUUAUUUUGUAUAGAACUCUUGUUAUAUAGUAAAGAUGUGACAUUCGAUCCUGUGCCAUGAUUCAUCAUAUGUGUGAGACUUGGUCCCAGCACACCUGGUGAUUAUGUUCGCGCCCGGGUUUUGGACCCCUAAAAUCCGGGUGUGACAGUCGCAAGACCCCCACCAGGGCGAGCGAGCUGAUGGACAUCGCCACCAAGUUCGCCUCCGGCCAGGAGGCGGUCGAGGUUAUCUUCCGGAAGGACAAGCAGCCCCAGGGCCGCCCAUCGGAAGAUGCCCCCGAGGCGUCAACUCAGCGCGGCGCCAAGAAGAAGGGCAAGAAGAAGUCGCAAGCGAAAUGCGACGCCGCCGACGCGGACCUUGUCGCCGCCGCCGAGUACAAGAACCCUCGGAAACCCCCCGGAGGUGCCAACCUUUUCGACAAGAUGCUCAAGGAGCCGUGCCCCUACCACCAGGGGCCCAUCAAGCACACCCUUGAGGAGUGCGUCAUGCUUCGGCGCCACUUCCACAGGGCCGGGCCACCCGCGGAGGGUGGCAGGGCCCACGACGACGACAAGAAGAAGGAUCACCAGGCAGGAGAGUUCCCCGAGGUCCGCGACUGCUUCAUGAUCUACGGUGGGCAAGCGGCAAACGUCUCGGCUCGGCACCGCAAGCAAGAGCGCCGGGAGGUCUGUUCGGUGAAGGUGGCGGCGCCAGUCUACCUAGACUAGUCCGACAAGCCCAUCACCUUCAACCAAGCCGACCACCCGACCAUGUGCCGAGCCCGGGGAAAUACCCGCUCGUCGUCGACCCCGUCAUCGGCGACGUCAGGCUCACCAAGGUCCUCAAGGACGGAGGCAGCAGCCUCAACAUCAUCUACGCCGAGACCCUCGGGCUUCUGCGUAUUGAUCCGUCCUCGGUCCGGGCAGGCGCUGCGCCUUUCCAUGGGAUCAUUCCCGGGAAGCGCGUCCAGCCCCUCGGACAACGCGACCUUCCCGUCUGCUUCGGAACACCCUCCAACUUCCGAAGGGAGACCCUGACGUUCGAGGUGGUCGGGUUUCGAGGAACCUACCACGCGGUACUGGGAAGGCCAUGCUACGCGAAGUUCAUGGCCGUCCCCAACUACACCUACCUGAAGCUCAAGAUGUCGGGCCCCAACGGGGUCAUCACCGUCGACCCCACGUACAAACACGCGUUCGAAUGCGACGUGGAGUGCGUGGAGUACGCCGAGGCCCUCGCCGAGUCCGAGGCCCUCAUCGCCGACCUGGAGAGCCUCUCUAAGGAGGUGCCAGACGUGAAGCGUCAUGCCGGCAACUUCGAGCCAGCGGAGACGGUUAAGUCCGUCCCCCUCGACCCCAGCAGCGACGCCUCCAAGCAAGUCCGGAUCAGCUCCGAGCUCGACCCCAAAUAGGAAGCAGUGCUCGUCGACUUUCUCCGCGCGAACGCCGACGUCUUCGCGUGGAGUCCCUCGGACAUGCCUAGCAUACCGAGGGAUGUCGCCGAGCACUCGCUGGACAUCCGAGCCGGAGCCCGACCCGUCAAGCAGCCUCUGCGCCGAUUCGACGAGGAGAGGCGCAGAGCCAUAGGCGAGGAGAUCCACAAGCUAAUGGCGGCGGGGUUCAUCAAAGAGGUAUUCCAUCCCGAAUGGCUUGCCAACCCUGUGCUUGUGAGAAAGAAAGGGGGGAAAUGGCGGAUGUGUGUAGACUACACUGGUCUGAACAAAGCAUGUCCGAAGGUUCCCUACCCUCUGCCUCGCAUCGAUCAAAUCGUGGAUUCCACUGCUGGGUGCGAAACCCUGUCUUUCCUCGAUGCCUACUCAGGGUAUCACCAAAUCAGGAUGAAAGAGUCCGACCAGCUCGCGACUUCUUUCAUCACACCCUUCGGCAUGUACUGCUAUGUCACCAUGUCGUUCGGCUUGAGGAAUGCGGGCGCGACGUACCAGCGGUGCAUGAACCAUGUGUUCGGCGAACACAUCAGCCGCACGGUCGAGGCCUACAUCGAUGACAUCGUAGUCAAGACGAGGAAAGCCUCCGACCUCCUUUCCGACCUUGAAGUGACAUUCCGAUGUCUCAAGGCGAAAGGCGUCAAGCUCAAUCCCAAAAAGUGUGUCUUCGGGGUGCCCCGAGGCAUGCUCUUGGGGUUCAUCGUCUCCGAGCGGGGCAUCGAAGCCAACUCGGAGAAGAUCGCAGCCAUCGUCAGCAUGGGGCCCAUCAAGGACUUGAAAGGCGUGCAGAGGGUCAUGGGAUGUCUUGCGGCUCUGAGCCGCUUCAUCUCACGCCUCGGCGAAAGAGGUCUGCCUCUAUACCGCCUCUUAAGGAAGGCCGAGUGCUUCACUUGGACCCCCGAGGCCGAGGAAGCCCUCAGGAACCUGAAGGCGCUUCUCACGAAUGCGCCUAUCUUGGUGCCCCCAGCUGCCGGAGAAGCCCUCUUGAUCUACAUCGCCGCGACCACUCAGGUGGUUAGCGCCGCGAUUGUGGUUGAGAGGCAAGAAGAGGGGCAUGCAUUGCCCGUUCAAAGGCCAGUCUACUUCGUCAGCGAGGUAUUGUCCGAAACCAAGGUCCGCUACCCACAAGUUCAGAAGCUGAUGUACGCGGUGAUCCUGACGCGGCGGAAGCUGCGACACUACUUCGAGUCUCAUCCGGUAACUGUGGUGUCGUCCUUCCCCCUGGGGGAGAUCAUCCAGUGCCGAGAGGCCUCGGGUAGAAUCGCAAAGUGGGCGGUGGAAAUCAUGGGCGAAGCAAUCUCGUUCGCCCCUCGGAAGGCCAUCAAGUCCCAGGUCCUGGCGGACUUCGUGGCCGAAUGGGUCAACACCCAGCUCCCAACAGCUCCGAUCCAACCGGAGCUCUGGACCAUGUUCUUCGACGAGUCGCUGAUGAAGACAGGAGCCGGCGCAGGCCUACUCUUCGUCUCGCCCCUCGGGAAGCACCUACGCUACGUGCUACGCCUCCAUUUCCUGGCAUCCAACAAUGUGGCUGAGUACGAGGCUCUGGUCAACGGAUUGCGGAUUGACCAAGUCAUGAAGAACUCCCACUGCCGCGACCCGAAGAUGGAGGCCUACUGCGAUGAGGUUCGGCGCCUGGAAGACAAGUUCUACGGGCUCGAGCUCAACCACAUCGCUCGGCGCUACAACGAGACUGCGGACGAGCUGGCUAAAAUAGCCUCGGGACGGACAACGGUUCCCCCGGACGUCUUCUCCCGAGAUCUGCAUCAACCCUCCGUCAAGAUCGACGACACGCCCGAGCCUGAGGCCCCCUCGGCUCAUCCCGAGGUACCCUCGGCACAGUCUGAGGCACCCUCGGUUCGGCCCGAGGCACCCUCGGUUCAGCCCGAGGUACCUUCGGCCCCCGAGGGCGAGACGCUGCACGUCGUGGGGGAGCGAAGCGGGGUCAUGCCUGAUCAAAACUGGCAGACCCCGUACCUGCAAUAUCUCCAUCGAGGAGAGCUACCCUCCGACCGAGCCGAAGCUCGGCGGGUGGCGCGGCGUGCCAAGUCGUUCGUCUUGCUGGGAGAUGAGAAGGAGCUCUACCACCGCAGCCCCUCUGGCAUCCUCCAACGAUGCAUCUCCAUCGCCGAAGGUUAGGAACUCCUGCGAGAGAUACACUCGGGGGCUUGCAGCCAUCACGCAGCGCCUCGAGCCCUUGUCGGGAAUGCUUUCCGACAAGGCUUCUACUGGCCCACGGCGGUGGCCGACGCCACUAGAAUUGUCCGCGCCUGCGAAGGGUGUCAGUUCUACGCAAGGCAGAUCCACCUGCCCGCUCAGGCUCUGCAGACGAUACCCAUCACCUGGCCUUUUGCUGUGUGGGGUCUGGACCUCGUCGGCCCCUUGCAGAAGGCACCCGGGGGCUACACGCACCUGUUGGUCGCCAUCGACAAAUUCUCCAAGUGGAUCGAGGUCCGACCCCUAAACAGCAUCAGGUCCGAGCAGGCGGUGGCGUUCUUCACCAACAUCAUCCAUCGCUUCGGGGUCCCGAACUCCAUCAUCACCGACAACGGCACCCAGUUCACCGGCAGGAAGUUCCUGGACUUCUGCGAGGAUCACCACAUCCGGGUGGACUGGGCCGCCGUGGCUCACCCCAUGUCAAAUGGGCAAGUAGAGCGUGCCAACAACAUGAUUCUACAAGGACUCAAGCCUCGGAUCUACAACGACCUCAACAAGUUCGGCAAGCGAUGGAUGAAGGAACUCCCCUCGGUGGUCUGGAGCCUGAGGACAACGCCGAGCCGAGCCACGGGCUUCACGCCGUUCUUUCUAGUCUAUGGGGCCGAGGCCAUCUUGCCCACAGACUUAGAAUACGGUUCCCCGAGGACGAGGGCCUACACCGACCAAAGCAACCAAGCUAAUCGAGAAGACUCGCUGGACCAGCUGGAGGAGGCUCGGCAAAAGGCCUUACUACACUCGGCACGGUACCAGCAGUCCCUGCGACGCUACCACGCCCGAGGGGUCCGGUCCUGAGACCUCUUGGUGGGCGACCUGGUGCUUCGGCUGUGACAAGACGCCCGAGGGCGGCACAAGCUCACGCCCCCCUGGGAGGGGCCGUUCGUCAUCGCCAAAGUUCUGAAGCCCGGAACGUACAAGCUGGCCAACAGUCAAGGCGAGGUCUACGGCAACGCUUGGAACAUCCAACAGCUACGUCGCUUCUACCCUUAAGAUGUUUUCAAGUUGUUCAUAUACCUCGCUCCCACGCAAAGUUUAGUCAUCAAGGAAGGGUCGGCCUCGCCUCGGCAAAGCCCGACCCUCCCUCGGGGGCUAAAAGGGGGGAACCCCCUCUGCGUCGAAUUUUUUCCUCGAAAAAAGAUCCUUUCUGCCAGAAUGUCUUUCGUGCUUUUUGACUACUUCGAAAGUGGAUCCUGAAAACGACAGAGUACACGUAAGCAGCCAAGGCUGACCGAGCCGAGGGACUCCUACGCCUUCGGGAUACGGAUACCUCACUCAUCACCUUCUGCGAUAAGUAACUCACAUUCGGAUAAGUGAUUCCGCGGACCGAACAAGUCUUCACGUUCGGAAGCUCUUCUGCCGGAGCGAUUCUUUGAGCCUUCUCGACUGCGUCGGUGACAGAACCCCAUGGACGGGUAAGAGUGCGCGUAAGCGGCAAGGCCGACCGAGCCGAGGAACUCCUACGCCUCCGGGAUACGGAUACCUCACUCAUCACCUUCCGUGAGAAGCAACUCUCGCUCGCACAAACAUUCCUGUUACCGACAAAAAAGUCCAGAUAUUCGAAACAAGAGGAAAGGAGACGCAGCUUUACAACACGGCGAGGGUGUGUUUUGGCCUCGGCGGCCGCAGAAAACACACGCUACAAGAUAAUCCGAUCCUGCAGGCUCGGAUCUUGACGGCUAAAGGGACCAGCAGCACCCUCGGCGUCGACAACACCUUCGGCGAGGUCCGACCUAGCCUCGAACGGCGACGCGGUCCGAGUAUCUCCACUCCGAAGGACGACGUCAUCACCACACCCGGGCCAUCGCCGCCAGGGUCUUCUCCGAGAAUCCGGCUCGGGCAGGCGGAUCGGCCGGUCACCCCGGGGCCUCGGCCAGCUGUCCUCCAAGGACAUCAGCCCGGCCCGAGGCCUCGGCAGAUCAAUUCCGGCGUCGGUCCCGCUAACGGACGACCCGGCCAGGCUCCGGUCGACCAGGUCUUCUUUUCGAGCCAACUCUGCCUUUGUCCAUGCUGACACCGCUACCCCUGGCCUCGGCUCUUCGAAGAGCGGUCGAGGGGUUCCUCUAACUAAGCAAGGGAAGCCUCGGACAACAAGGCUGACCGAGCCGAGGGACUCCUACGCCUCCGGGAUACGUAUACCUCACUCGUCACCUUUACACGGGGCGACUCACGCUUGGUGAAGCGGUUCAGACAACCAACAGGCGAGUCUUAGUGCUCGAAAAUGAGGAAAAAACACGGCUCCGUGCCGAAAUUACAUACAUAUUCAGGCCUCGACAACCGUAAUGAACAACCUCCACACCGGGGAGCCUGCGGGGCGACGAGCUCCGGGUGACCCGCCAGCGACCUCUGCAGCAGCAGCCGUGGUCCCAGGACGGACGCGACCGCCGGAAGGCUCUCGUUCGCGUUCCCGCUCAAGGGACACAAACCAGCCAUCAAAGCCAAAGAGCGGGCCGCUCCAAAGCGCACCGGCAGGUCCUCGUUCCCGUCCUCUCCACGAAAGCGAGGAAGAGGGCAGAAUGUUGCAUCCUAGCUGGGCAGCAACAGUUCGCCUUCCCCGGCAUGGCUGGAGGACGCCUCCUCUGCAGAGCUGGAGGAUGGUUGCCACCACCAGAAGCUGGAAGAAGAGGUGGCCAGCUGGCCCGCGCGGGAGGUAGAGCCCCGGCUCGCCUCGCUCUCCGCCCCAGCAAGGAUGAUGAACAUCCUUGAGGCUGAGGGCGGGACCAAGAUCACAGCCCGGCUUGCCUCUCCCCAUCCAGGGGCUGGAGGUCACCGUCUUGGGUGACCGCCGGCGGAGGGGUGCAGCCGGGCUGCAUGAUGAAAAUCCUUGAAGCCGAACGAUGGAUGAAAGGUACCAACUCCCAUGGAGUUGCGUUCCUCCAACGACGAGGCGGAAAGACGGCGGGUAUCCCCCAUCCGGGGGCUUGGAAGGUGGAAAGACACGAUGCAUAAGGGAGCGCGAAGACAUGGUCGCCUCCCAAGGGGGUCACCCUCCUUUUAAAGGCGGCUCUCCCUACUUGCGUCCCCAGCCGUCGUGGGCUGAGUCUUCUCCAACACGCUCCAAGGUCCUCCCCUACGGCACGGGGGCUGGGUCCCACACGUCAUGCAAGCCGGCCCAGAGCAGAAGAAGCCAAACCGCCGAGCGCGGUGCGUGCAACCGCCCAGCGGUUACAAGCGGCUCUCCACUUUUGCCCAGAGCAGCGGGGAAAGGGCGGGCAGCCAUGCAGGCGGCAUGCAACCGCGCCAAGUGGGCGCACUUCUCCGACUCCCAACACGCCCAGCAUGGAGGCCCAGGCCCACGCGUCAUGCAACCGGCGUGCCGAAUGCUUCGUGCAUGCAACUGCACCGCCACUUGCGCCACCAUCGCGCCACCUCGACUGCGGAACCAAUACCGCGACUCGAGGCGACCCAGCGCACGACCCAGCAGCGCCAUCCUGGCGCGACGGUCAAUGCGGCCAAAAAUGGGCCGGCAGUAAUGGCGGUGGCAGGCGGGCAGGAGCAGCGGUCACGUCGUCAGCCAAGCUUACGUCCCAUCCGGGGGCAGCGAGAGAACCCUCUCUCACGGCGUGAAGACGACGCGCCCGUGUUUCGUUCCUCGAACGGCUCGCGCACGCACAACGGCCGCCCCGCGAACCACUCGCCCCGUCGCAUUAACUCCGCGGCGGGACAGGCGGCGCCUCUGGCAGGAGAAGCGAGCGACGCUUCGUCUUCGCCAUAAUGACCGCGUCAAAAAAGGUACGCCGCGUCGUUCGAUUUCGUAUCAUUUUCCUUUUUUCCUCUUUCUCUCUCUUGCAACAGGGACCGGGAAAGGGGGAUACCCCGAAAAGGAUCCUUCCCCGUGAAGGAACCAGGCUCCGAGCCUCCCUAUUGAUCAGAGGUUCGAAGGCUGGCCCCUCGGAAGGGUUCAACAGCCGCCUCAGAGCACGUGGGCUCCACACCCACUACUGGUCAGGGGUUCGAAGGCCAACCCCUCGGAAGGGUUCAACGGCCGCCUCAGGCUACUCGGGCUCCGCGCCCACUAUUGAUCAGGGGUUCGAAGGCUGGCCCCCGAAGGGUUCACAGCCGCCUCAGACACAGAGCGAGGGAUGACCAUGGGUACGUUCGAUACAUAACCAAGGCUCGGGCUGCGCUCCCGAGGUACCCUAGGACAUUUCCGAGACCAGCGGGAACGAUCUUGUAACGGAAUCCCAUCAGAGGGAGGCAUCGAGCCCUCGGACCCCGUCGCCAGGGGACCGGGUCCGGCAGAUCACCCGCAGGUACUUUUGGGCGCGCCUCUGGGCCUCUAGCCGACCCCUAACGAAUGGGGCACGGACGUCCGCUCGGAUUACCCGCCUGCAGCUCACCGGAGACACCAUGUUCGGCGCCCACCGAGGGCAACAUGGCGCUUCCCCCCCCCCUCCUCCUUGCGGAAAGGCGACGCAGGGGCGCAUGUAAAAAAGUCGAGUCUGUCCCUGAUCGCCCUCUCGCCCUGUGCAGAGGCUCGGGGGCUGCUCUCGCAAACCCGGCUCCGGCCAAACCGUUGACAGCGUCAACAUACCAGCCCAAGAACUUGAGACCCGACCGUACACCCGGGCUACGGCCAGCUCGCAUGAGGGAACGACCAGACCAGCCGAAGCAUUGCGCGAGGCAUUAAGACCUCGGAGGAGUCAAACCACUCCUCCGAGGCCUCGGGGGCUACACCCGGCGGGUGCGCUCGCGCGCACCCACCGGAACAAAACGCAACCGAGAAAGGCUGGUCCCCUUGCAAAAAAGUGCGACGAAAGCCUCCAAGCGAGUGCUAACACUCCCUUCGAGGCUCGGGGGCUACUGUCGGGGACCAUAAUUAGGGGUACCCUCAAGGCUCCUAAUUCUCAGCUGGUAACCCCCAUCAGCAUAAAGUUGCAAAGGCCUGAUGGGUGCGAUUAAGACAGGGAUCAGUCCAUUCGAGGGACUCGAUCACGCCUCGCCCAAGCCUAGCCUCGGACAAGGGCAGCCGACCCCGGAGGAUCUCCGCCUCGCCCGAGGCCCCCCUCCAGCGGCGAACAUGUUUUCCGGCUCGCCCGAGGCCCUGUCUUCGCCAAGAAGCAACCUUGACCAAAUCGCUGCACCGACCGACCAAAUCGCAGGAGCAUUUAAUGCAAAGGUGGCCUGACGCCUUUAUCCUGACGUGCGCCCCUCAGCCGACAGAGCCGAAGUGACCGUUGUCACUUCGCCGCUCCACUGACCGGUCUGACAGAAAGGCAGCGCCGCCUGCGCCGCUCCGACUGCGGUGCCACUUGACAGAGUGUAACGUUGUCGGGGACCAUAAUUAGGGGUACCCUCAAGGCUCCUAAUUCUCAGCUGGUAACCCCCAUCAGCAUAAAGCUGCAAAGGCCUGAUGGGUGCGAUUAAGACAGGGAUCAGUCCAUUCGAGGGACUCGAUCACGCCUCGCCCGAGCCUAGCCUCGGACAAGGGCAGCCAACCCCGGAGUAUCUCCGCCUCGCCCGAGGCCCCCCUCCAGCGGCGAACAUGUUUUCCGGCUCGCCCGAGGCCCUGUCUUCGCCAAGAAGCAACCUUGACCAAAUCGCUGCACCGACCGACCAAAUCGCAGGAGCAUUUAAUGCAAAGGUGGCCUGACGCCUUUAUCCUGACGCGCGCCCCUCAGCCGACAGAGCCGAAGUGACUGCCGUCACUUCGCCGCUCCACUGACCGGUCUGACAGAAAGACAGCGCCGCCUGCGCCGCUCCGACUGCGGUGCCACUUGACAGAGUGAGGCUGACAGGCAGUCAGGCCCGGCCGCAGGCACCAUAGGAAGCUCCGCUCCGCCCAUCCCAGGGCUCGGACUCGGGCUAAGCCCCGGAAGACGGCGAACUCCGCUCCGCCCGACCCAGGGCUCGGACUCGGGCUAAGCCCCGGAAGACGACGAACUCUGCUCCGCCCGACCUAGGGCUCGGACUCGGGCUAAGCCCCGGAAGACGGCGAACUCCGCUCCGCCCGACCUAGGGCUCGGACUCGGGCUAAGCCCCGGAAGACGGCGAACUCCGUUCCGCCCGAACCAGGGCUCGGACUUAGGCUCAGCCCCAGAAGACGACGAAUUCCGCUCCGCCCGACCCAGGGCUCGGACUUGGGCUCAGCCCUGGCCUCAGCCAACGGCCUCCGCCUCGCCCGACCUAGGGGCUCGGACUCGACCUCGGCCACGGAAGACGGACUCGACCUCGACCUCGACCUCGGAGGAGCCUCCACAUCGCCCAACCUAGGGCGCGGGUCGACCACGUCAACGGGAGGCGCCAUCAUUACCCUACUCCAAGCUGACUCAGGCUACGGGGAACAAGACCGGCGUCCCAUCUGGCUCGCUCCGCCAGAUAGGCAAUGAUGGCGUCCCGCACGCUCCCUGACGAUGGCGGCUCUCGGCCCCCUUACGGAAGCAAGAGGACGUCAGCAAGGACUCGACAGCCCCGACAGCUGUCCCUCCGCCAGGCUCCAGCGCUCCUCCGACGGCCACGACAUCACACAAACUGGGCGCCAAAAUCUCUCCGGCCGCCACGAUGGCGUGUACUUAGGGCGCUAGCUCUCCUCCGCUAGACACGUAGCACUCUGCUACACCCCCCAUUGUACACCUGGAUCCUCUCCUUACACCUAUAAAAGGAAGGACCAGGGCCCUCUUAGAGAGGGUUGGCCGCGCGGGGACGAGGACGAGACAGGCGCUCGCGUGAGGCCGCUCGCUCCCUCUCCCGUGUGGACGCUUGUAACCCCCUACUGCAAGCGCACCCGACCUGGGCGCGGGCCGAACACGAAGGCCGCGGGAUUCCCACCUCUCUCACGCCUGUCUCCGGCCACCUCACUUCCCCCCUUCGCGCUCGGCCUCGCGUCGACCCAUCUGGGAUGGGGCACGCGGCGACAUUCACUCGUCGGCUUAGGGACCCCCCGGUUUCGAAACGCCGACAAACGUCAUACAACAAGUUAAAAAUAUGUGUUAAUGAAAUGUAGGUAUAAAUAAGAUGAGUUAUCUAGUUGCAGUAACUAAUAAGGGAAAAUUGAAUAACGCCUUCAUGGUAGACAGAAAAUAAUACAUGUAGGAUAUUAUGUUGUAGAUUGUAACCUUUUGGGUGGUGAUUUAAAUGUAUAUGUUGGACCUUUUCCUUUGUCAUCAAGUAUUGCGUCAUGUUGUACAUGUAGAAGUCAUUCAUAAAGAAGUGGGAAAAAGGUAAUGCUAUUUGUUAAUUGUCUAUGAAACCGUAGCAUGACAUGGGAUGUUGAUGUAGCAGGCACAACUGCGAAAUCUGUAAUGCCUGUGUCAAUUAGCUAUAGGUAUUGAAAGACAAGCAGGCAGGCAGAAAGGAAGCAAUAACAUUCUAUUGAACAAUUGAAUUUGAACACAAUGUUUGAAUAUGUACAAAAGAUAGUUUAGAGUUAGUAACAACAGAUGUUAUCAUUCGUCAUAAGAAUAAAUUUUGUUACAAUCUAGUAUGGAACAAUGUGAUGUUGUAAUUUCCUUCAAUUUGAUUGUACCAGUAUUAUUUGUUAUAUGAAAUGUGCAUAUGGAGUAACUGACCAUGUGCAGAAUGAAGUGAAUUCAGUUUAGCUAGAAGAGCAUAAUGUGGCAGGUUAGUAAAACGAAGAAGAUUGUACUUAAGGACAUAUGUGUCUACUAUGAGAGAUGCAUUUGGGAAAAAGUUGUGGUGUAAUUUGGUAAGAAACAAUAUAGUAUUGUACUUUUGUUGCAUUCAGUUGUGUUAGUAUUAUUUGUUAUAAGAAAUGUGUAUAUGGAAUAAUUGAUUGUGUGAAUUAUUGGUCACUUGUUUUUGAUUGCUAGAUGACAUAAAAAACAAGGCAACACAAGUUAGAAGAUUACAACCUUCUCCCCUUAAUUACUCUUUCUUCAAAGGAUAAUUUAAGGAGAGAAGAUAGGAAGUGAGGACAAAUAUGUAAUGGAUAGCAUAAGAAAAGAAUAAACGAAGGGUGAAACAUACAACUCAUCUUUAUGCCUUGAUCAUUGUCAUUUCAUCCUUGUCAAUUUAACAUAUGAUUACAAGCAUACUUUCGACUUUACACGAGAAAUGACUCGAAGUUACUUUGGAGGCUGAGUUAAACGAAGCUAUAGGCCAUUGAAAGGUGAAUUGUGCACCAGAGAAAAAAAGAAAUUUAGGGCCGCGACACUCAGCAAAGAGUCGUUGGCACUCGGGUCAUUUCGGGGCUAGCUUCGCCACUAUGUACAUAUUUGUAUUUUCCCUUCUAUAAUUGUAUUUCCCCUUCCAUAUUUACAAUCUCUUGUACUUCUAUAUAUUCGGGUCUAGAUCCCUCGUAAUAAAUGUCUUAUUUCUAUCAGACGACACCUUAGUACCCUUAAACCAGAUCUUGUUGCUUGAUUCUGCCCUUUGUUUUACAUGCCUAAUUUUGUGGAUUUGGAUCCAUAUAAAACUGUGGUCGAGCAUUGAGUUAAUGGUCUAAGAAGCUCACUGAUUUUACCUUUUACAGAUUCUGCUUAAUCACGAAAUCGUAGUUUGAUCAGUUCUGGUCCCUUGUUUGUUUUAAUAUAUCUGGAGUAAUAGACCUGUGGACUGUGAUAGAUAUGAGUAUUAUAUAUAGUUUGGGUUAGUUUAUAAAUCUCAUCGACUUUACCUAGACCACUAUGACGAAGAUAGUAAACACAAUAUAAUUAGCUAGUGGAAAAUAAUAAACCCUACAUAAUAAGCAUGCAUGAUCCGUAGAAACAAUAUAAUCCAGAAUGCGAAAAUACAAAAACAAAUCUGCCUUGGACGGCCACCACCUGGCCUGGCAGACGGCAAUACCGCAUGCAAGAUGCCCCACCGAAGCCUGCGAGCACAAUAAACAGUUAACUUAAAAAAACAAGACCACACUCCCUCUAUUAUAUUAAAAGGAGACCGAAACAAUAGUCCUGACCGAGAAAAUCUCCAAAUCUUAAACCCCAUCACUAACGGCCCAUCGAGCUAGUACUACUCAAAAGUCCUUAACCACUAAGCUCAGGCCCUUUCGGUUAACCAAACAACUGCUCUCUACAUCUGGGCCCAUCAGAGCUGGCUAGCUUCGGCCUGCCUCUCCAGAUGAAAUCAAUACAGGCAGCAAAUCAAGCAGGCCCUAUGUGGAGUCCAGCCAAGAGCACAGCAUAGUUUUUAUUCUUCAAGCUUGACUAAGGUAAUACCUCAGUUCACGAAUAUUCGACACCCGUUGACUUUUUUUCAAAAACUUUGUCUUAUUCAAUUCAAACCACCGUUUCCAGCAUGGUAAAUAAAUAAUUCAAACCACCGUUUCCAGCAUGGUACUGCGACGAAUGUGCUAACUGCUCGGUUCUAACUUCUAACUGCUAAUCAGCGGCAUUGCAAUCAUCAAUACGGACGGUGCCGGCCCCUGCGGCUGUUGUUGCUGUUACUACCAUGGUCAUCUCCCCUCUGCCGCUUUCCGCCGGAAGAGCUGGAUCCGCCACCACCGCUGCCACUACCACCGAAUCGACGACCACCUUGCUGUGGCAGAGGUGAAGUCGCAUGCACAGGCUGCUGCCCCGCGGCCUGUGGUCUGCCAAACACCAAGGAAAAUAUGAGUUGGCAUGGAAGCAUCAAUGCAGCAGUUGACUGCCCUUAAGGAUCCAAGGUACAAGAAACAAAAACUAGACUGCAGUGCUCUGCAUGGAUAACCAUCUAAAUUUCACCACUAUUGUGACCAUAAAAAAAA